rnacentral:lncRNA from 1 species
UAGGUUAGGGUAAACUGUUAAGAUUUAAACUUACUCAUAUUACCUUUCACAAUGGGGCUUGCAACCGUCACUUGUGUCUUAAGUAGUUAAAAGAUAGAACGGUCUAGUCAAGCGUCAUGUCUCUUGUUCUUCGAUUAACUAUAGCUCUGGAGUUUUUGUAGAUUUUCAAAUAAAACUCAGAGAUUCCUUGUAUGACUCUCUCUAGUCUCUCUUUUGUGGUAUUUCUGGAUCCUUACCAAGGCAGUGUUGGUAUAUGCCUUCUCUCAAAGUAUGUGGUAUUUGUGGUAUAAGGCAUAGUGGCAUUGCCUUCUCUCUCACCCUACUCUAAUAAGGUUUUGAUAUCUAGAGCUCAUAGGUGGGAGACAGCUAAUACAUACUUACAAGACAUUUAUUGCAUAGUCAAACCAUGGAUCCAGAGAAACAAGUCAAUAAGUCAAAUCAAGAUGUGCAUGUGUGGCGAGUGAAUGGUGUAUGGUGAUGAUGGUGAUAACAAUGGUGAAAGUCUAAUUCUACUUUUGCUCUUUUGAGGGGGUACAUACCUUUCUUGCUCUUUUGAAACUUUUUGAGGAGAACGAGAUGCUCUAUAUUUUCUUUUUCUUUUCUCUCAGGUGGGUAUCUUGUACCCCUAAUUCUACUGUCGGACACUUGUCGAUUUUUACCUCUCGUCUCACUUUUUUCUUUUCUUUCGAGGUUCCGGGCACUUGCCCCUUUUUAUUUCCUCGUAUACUUUUUUCUCCCUUUUUUUAGAGCACUCGUCUCCUGAAAUAAUAUAGCAAGUGGUAGUAACCAAGAUAACUUGAGCAUUUAUUUCACAGGGGAAAAACAGAAAUAUUUUUGGCUAUUCUCUCCUUCAUAGGAGUAGAAUAAAUUUUGGGUGGUUCUGGAGAUGGAAAUGGUUGGAUAGAUAUGGAUGCGUACUUCCGGAGUAGAAGCAGCAUGUGUGAGUGAACGUGCAAGUGAAUCUUUAUUUAACCACAUGACAAGCUCCUAUGGGUCUACACAGCUUGACCACACUCAGUGCUCCUAAGCAGUAAAAAGUAAAAAUCUGGCUCAAAGUCUAGCAAGCAUGUAUAUAUGACUGUGGUAGGAAUUUAAACUCUCAUCAUAUAGGAACUCAUCAUGCAACAUUUUAAAGAUUUUCAAAGAUAAAAUUCUCCAGAAUUCUAGCAUCUCUAGGACCAGAUAAACAGCAACUCAACCUUCCCAAAUCGUAUCCGUUAACAACUUGGACUUUAGAUCAAGUACUCUUCCCACAAGUUCAGGUUUAGAGCAAAUCUUAAUUAAUAACAGUCAUGCCUAAACUUGAGAGAGAUUUCAAUUUUGAGAACUAGUCAUGGCAGAGCAACUAUUCAUCAUUUCCAUGUGAGAGCUUAUCAUGAGGGUUCAUAGCAAACUUUAUUUAUUUAUUUAUUUAUUUAUCAGACUAAGCAAAGAUAUAUAUAUAUAUAAGCAUAUUAGAGUAAAGUAUAAACGUGGGUAGAACACUUAGCUGGAUAAAUGGGGGUGCUCUCCCCCAAGCUAGAUUUUGACGUAAUUUCUUCUGAUGUAGCUAGCAGGUGACGAAGGUGUAUUUGAAUGUCGGCAGCACCCUGACAGUGAUUAGGAUGUCCUUUGUCUGCUAGUCUUCUUUGAUCCUUGGAUUUUGUGGAGCUCAAAUAGACAACAAAGCUUUGUGGAACUGGUUAAGUGUUAGCAUAAAUAUAUAGCCUUUAUCAUGUUGAGCCUCCUCAAUAAAUGUUACUCUCUUUAGUAGGAUCAUAAAUUUAUUUUUAUAAUUUUAUUUUUAUAAGACAGGAAUAUAUUUAUUUUAUUUUUAUGCCACCACAGUGAAUGUACUUAUGGGUUUUAUGCCAUGAGCAUAGUCACAUGGGGCUUACUAUUUUUAACAUUUUUAUUUUCUUUUCAAGAUGAUAUAAACCUGAUUAACUAAGCAAACUAUUUUAAAAUAAUUGAAAGGAAAAAGAUAACUACCAAGUUUACCUCUUGGCAUGGCGUUCGGUGUUUUUAAGUCCUCCGAACGGGACUCUCCGUUUUCUUAGUCGUCCUAGGAUUCGCUGAAUGGCGUAGUCGGUGGUUCCGGCGGUGCCUCCUCUUCGUGUAUAACUAUCUUCUCUCUACACACCUGACUCGGUGCUACGGUCUCCUCAGGACAGUUUUGUUCAAGUUGUAUGUCUUCAGACCUUACAACUUCUCCUUCAUAGUCUACCCAUCCGUCCUUGAUGAUUUUGCCUCUCUGGUUACGGUUGCGUCGUCUUCUUCUUGUCCUGACCUGCUUAGAGUCUUCAACUAUAUAGUUAAGGUUAGUAAAAUAGCGGCGUACCUUCUCAGAGAGGAAGUGCAUGUGGAAUUCUCCGGUUCCAAUGUAGAUGAUUGCUUUAAGGGAGCUGAGGAACGGUAUUCCAAGGAUGAUGGGUGGAUCGUACUCGUCUUCUCCUAUAUCAAUAACUUCAACCUUCCGAAAUGUUUGAUCUGCCAUCUGCAGCUGGGUGUAUGUCGGUUUUAAGGGCAUGGUUCCGAACAGGAGCUGAUAGGUGACUGGGUCGUCCUUUUUGGUCAGGAACGGUGACUUAAGUCGACGAUCUUGACCUCCUUGAACUGUAGUGACCAAUCUAGCUGACUCGGUCCACAUUUGCUUGUUUCUGUUCCUCCUGUUGGUCCUCUUCCUUGGUUCAUGACUUGAUUGCUCUGAGAUUUGUGUAAUCUUGUUCUCGAAGGAAAACGUCUCCGUCGUCCCCUUGAUGUAGAAACUGAUCUUGGCAGCACUAGCGUAGAUGACAGCUCCCGAGGUGUUCAGGAAUGGCCUCCCUAGGAUGAUGGGUGCCCUCUCAUCAGUACCAGUCUCUAUCACCACGAAGUCUGCUGGAGCGUACAAGGUACCAACUCGGACGCAGAGGCUCUUCAAUAUUCCUUUUGGGAAACUUAGUGUACGAUCUGCAAGCUGCAAACCCAUGAUUGCUUCUGAUACAGGAUGUGUAAAGAAUUUUUCAUAGAGUACCCUGGGCACAAUGUUGACGCUGGAGCCAAAGUCGCAGAGUGCUUCUGGGAAGUUCACCAUGCCGAUGGAGAUCGGGAUGACGGGGCGUCCUGGAUUGUCUCUUUUGACCGAUAGAAGUUCAGUAAUUACUUCCACAAUGGGGUUACUCCAAUAGUUACGUCCUCAAGCAUCUCAGGGCAGUGAUUCCCUGAGUGUCCAGUAUCUCCAGUGUGUUUGUGCUCGUAGAUCUAGGUUCUUCACUUGGUGGAGUCUGGGAGUUGUAAAACUCCUUCAUAUUUUGCUCGAAGUGUACCUGCUCAUAGAGACAAGGCAGAGAUCAAGGGCAUGGGCCUUGUUGGUGGAAAGCACCAACAGAACCAAAAGUGUAUUUGUUCUCUCUAACCUUAAGCAUAGUGAGCUAGACAAAGUUGAUGGAUAAUAAGAUCAUGAAUGUAGCAUUUAAAACAUUUGUCAGAUUAGAUCGCUCAACCUAAUGGAAAGAUAAUCUAUCUAUAUAAAUGUUUUUGUUCUUUACAUGACUAUCAUUUUCCAAAGAUUGAGUGUGCAACAUUUUAGUUCAUAUGAUUAGGAGUGUGGGAUCACAAAGGUGAAAGGACUAAACAUGUUGAAUCGAUUGGGUUGGUUAAUUUAGAGUUAUAAAUCAUACAUGUUUGUCUCUUUAUUUAUGUGAACGCCAGAACCAAGGAAAAGCUUAUAGAAGUGAUAGUCAAGUACCUUAAGAUGUUACUUUACUUGAAGAGUGAUGGUACAGUAUCACCUUGUGGAAGCUUUCAUUUCUUAGCCGUUGUGCAUCGUGUUUGUGGCACUGUCCAUGGAUCAUCCCUUGUGAGCUAUGCCUUCCUUAUGUAAAUUGUUAACCUUCAUGUGUCUCUUUGUAUCCAAUGUGAGUUUAUCUCAGGACUUCCCAGGUCGAUAUUGAAAGUUUUCGUGCAGGGGUUAGUCCAAUAAAAUAUCCAAUAUCUACUAUAGCAUACUAUCAGCUCAAAGAUCAACCUAGACACCAUGUCUAAUUUGAUUUAGGAAGGCAUUUUAACCUAAGCACCAUGCUCAAUUUAAAAUCCCUUGGAAGUAAGAUCAUCAUUCCUAAACUAAGCACCAUGCUUAAUUAAGAGAUAAAUGAAAUUACUCCAAACCUAGACAUAUACUAAAGCAAAUAAAGGGUAGCAUGAGAGAAUUUAUAGAGAUCUACUCAAGUGGAGAUGAAGUAGUGUGAUUAGUAUUUAACAAAUUGAGCAUGUCUCAAAGGUAGGGACAACCAACAUAGCAACAUAGCAAAGGAUGUUUUUAUGUAAAGUACUCCCCCAAGCUUGAAUUUUGCAAAAUUCAAGUUUGGAUGAAUUUAAUUCAAUGUUGUAUGAUGAUUGGUUGGACAUACCUUGUGCUUGUCAUUCAUCCGAUCUUCUUGCUCCAAUCUUAGAAAGGUUAGUGACAAGAAUACCCGAAGGAAUAUUUUUACAAUUAUACUUAUAUGCUCAACACACAAGGUAAUGUUGCAAAUAAUUAAAAGCUCAUGUUAUGAUCUGAUCAGUGCUUAUUUUAGGACACUAAGCUUGUCCUUGGGAAACCAUCAAUUUAUAUCGGCGAAGUGGUUUCCCCUCCAACGCUGACCUAUAUCAAGAUCAACUCAACGAGAUCUGCAAUAUUUAAUAUAGACAUAUGCAUCGACAACCGCCCUUUUAAAGUUUUUAUAAAUAAAAAGGACGAGGGGGUUCGAGAUCUCGAAUGUGGUGAUGUUGGUAAAACCAAUGGAUUGGAAAGAUGUUGCAUAUGAGCAUGGAGUAAAUGAAGUGGCUAUGAAAUAAAUUCCAUGCUCAUUAAUGCUUAGAGUGAAAUCCAUGUGGUGUGGUGCAAAUGAUAAGGUGAGUGUGGUAGAAAAGGAAAAGAAAAAGGAUACACAGACAACUUGGUUCGAAACUAGCACAGCUACCGUUCCCCGACAACGGCGCCAGACAGCUUGUUGGGUAUUUUAAACGCAAACAGAAAAAUCCGCAAGCGCACGGAUACCGAUGUAGCCUUCACCCGGGAGUAUUCUAGAGUAUCGAUUUUCCACAGAGAAUGUGAGUAUACUAAUUAAGAUCCAAGAUCGCCCAAGGAUAACUAUUUGAAUAUUUUUGGUGGGAAGAGGGGAAGUUUCCUGAGAGUUCUCUAAUGGAUCUAAGAAUCAAGAAUUACUUCAAGAUUAUCUAUAUCGGGACAUCAGAGCACUAACCACAGAAAGAGAUGAGAAGGGGGCUAGGAAGGUCUGACUACGGUCCUACAAACACCGAUCCGAACGAGAUGGAAUACGUCAACCGUUAGGGCUGUCACUACCCUAAGGCUACCACAACAAUCCGCAGGAUUGGGUGCAAUUCCAGGUAAUCGCAAGACUAAACACCACGUCUAAUCUAUUAAUUACUACUCUAGCGUUAUAAAGACUAGAGCACUUGAUGCAAGCGGGAAUCCAAUAAAUAACUUGAAUUUAAAUAAAAGUAAUUAAAGAACUCAGGAAUUAUGAAUUGAAGAACCUGGAGAACGAUGAAGGAUGAACCAGUUGCUGCAAAAGUACAAUGUUGAGGAAGAUCCGACAGAUCCGGCUCCUCCUCCGCUCUCCUCUUCUCUCUCCCUAUUUUCUAGAUUACAACUAGAACUAACUAGAACUAGAACUAGAACUAGAACUAGAUGAACUAGAACUAGAUCUAGAUGAACUAGAGGUAGAACUAGAAGAACUAGAGGGAUCCUCUCUACUUGGAUGAAGAAUUGAAACCUUAGCUUUGAUUCUGUAGAAGAGGAAUGCCUCCAGGGGCUGGUGGGGGUCUGCUUAUAUAGUCAAGGAAGAGUAGCCCCCAAGAAAUCUAGGAAGAGUAGCUAUCAAGAAAUGUAGGAAGAGUAGCUCCCAAGGAAUUUCCACGUUAUUCUCCACCAUCCGAUCAAACCGACCUUAAUCGUGUGAUUUUCCUUGAUCCUUUAGGUCAGUGGAGCGUUGUCCCCAAAUUGGACUCUGAUUGAGCACUGUAGUAGGGCGGGCGCCCUAUGCCUGAGCCCUCUCGGCCUCCGCUUCGUUCCCGUGGCUUCUGGAGUCUUCUAGAUGAUAGAAAAUUACGCGGCACGUUAAUAUCUCUAUGUAAACCCGACGUGUGGGCCUUUCUUCCGUAUUUCCUGAUAACCCCCUGCAGAAAUAGACAAACACCAAAACUCGUGGAAUUCUGUGAGAUAAAACCCUAAGUCUAGGUGUUAGAUGCAUUUGGAUCCUUUUCCAUGUUUAGUUAACGGUUAAAUGUGAGCAUUAAGGACCGUCAACACUGCUCUCAUGGUCGCUAAUUCACUUGAAUUCUUAUAAAUUGGAUGGUUCCGUUACAACUCUUAUCCUCUCCCCUCCUAUGCCCAUAAUAGAUAUAGAAAAUGAACCCAUCUCUAAACCCAUCCUUGACCACUAUGGCCUGUUCUGUGCUAUUGCUCCUCCUGAUGAUUCUAGAAAUCCAUCUAGAUAUCCCAUGCAUAAGAAUCAUCAAGACCAUAUAGAAGAUCAAGUAGAGCAACAUCCAUGGCUAGAGAGCACUAAAAACCUAUGUGCAAUUGCCAUUGAAUGGAUGGGCAAUGCCUUAGAUAACAUCAAUCUAGGAGAUGGUCCCAGGGAAUUUUUGGACAUAUAUGUCGAGUCACCCUUGGAAGUAUAAAAUGAUGGAGACUUCAAUGAGAAAGGAAGCUACUUGAUUAACUACCCGUGAGUUCCUUGCUCAUAUGAAAAAUCUCCUAACUCACUUAGUCUCUCUAACAUUGCCCCACAUGAGAUCUUCAACCCCCUCAUGCUCCCUGUUCCUAAAGUUUUUGAAAGGGUGGUUGUAGACACAUAUGCUUAUCAUAAAUAUUUUAGAUCUCGUUGUGGUGAAGCCUGAGAGUAAUAGACUUAGAUUGGUGUUGGAAAGGAAACCACUUCACCAAACCACAUCUUGAAGGUUUCCCAAGGACAAGCUUACUGUCCUAAAACAAGCAUAAUUUAAUUAUACCAUGAUAUGAGUGUUCACCUUUCUACAGUGUUAACCUUGUUAAUUGAGCUUAUAAUUAUAAUUGUAAAAAUAUUACUUUGAGUAUUCUUGUUACUAACCUUACCAAGUUUGCAGCAAAAGAUCAAAGGAGUGACAAAUGCAAUGUAUGUCCAACCAAUCAUUAUGCAACAUUGAAUUACUUUCAACCAAUCCUGAUUUAUGGAAAAGUCAAGCUUGGGGGAUAUGCACCCAUAGAUACAUCACUUGCCAUGUUGCUACAUCAUCUUUGUUGUCCCUACCUUUAAGAUAUGCACAAUUUGCUAAACAAUAAUUAUGCUCUUUCAUCAUUGUUUGAGUAAACAUCUUUAAUGCUUUCAUGCUACCUUUGUUUGCGUCUAGGUUUGGUGUAGUUUCAUACAUCUCUUAAAUGAAGCACGAUGUUUAGUUUAGGAGUGGCUAUCUUACAUUCAAAGGCUUUUUAAAUUAAGUGUGGUCCUUAGGUUAAAAUGCGCUCUUAAAUGGUGUCUAGGUUGAUUUUUGAGCCGAUAGUAUGAUAUAGUAGAUGUUGGAUAUUUUGUUGGAAUAACCGUUAUAGAAAAACUUUUAAUACCAAAUUCAGAAAGUCCUGAGAUGAACUCACACUAGAGAUGAAGAGAGACACUAUAAUUUUGCACAAGGGAGACACAACUCACUCAUAGCCAAGAAGAAGAAGGGUGCCACAAAACAUGAUCCAUGAUCAAAGCACUCACUUCAUGAAGUUGUGUUCUCUUAUCAAGAAUCAAGAAAAGAUUGACAAGAGAAAAGCAUGUAACGUUCUACACUCUCACUUCUGAGGUCAAGAAACUGAGACAUGAGGAAGAAAAGGUCAACUUCUCUAGAUGAUCUCCUGCUCCCAUCGCUCCACACGCUGGUUUGCAAUCUUUAAAUUCCCUAUUGCUUUAUCUAUAUGAGACUGAGUUAAUUGAUAAUGCCAUAUUUGAGAAUCAAAACAUAAGAUGGGUAAAUAGAAUCAAUCCUUUAGAAAGAAGUAAUUAAUAAAUGUGUUAUGCUAAGCAUGCUCAACAAAAUGACCCUUAGCUAUGUUACAACAAUGCCCUUGUCAUUACUUGUAUACUCCUUCGUGUAUGUGUUGUCCACUAAUGAUUUGCAGACAUAAAAUAAUAAGAUGAGCUAAAGGUCCAAGCAUAAAUUAGAUAGAGAACAAAUAAGGGCAUAAGAUUAAAAAGGAGUACAACAAAGGAGACAGGCUAUCUGUGAACAAGACACGUGACUAGACAAGCAAGGAAAGUUUCCACAAGAUGUUACGACUGACGGAAUAUGAGGACGCUACACUUGACCUAGGGUUCAAUUAGAUCAAUCUGAUUGAUCUGUAUCUCACCAUGAUUGGGUUUACAUGUAUCACUUAACUUGGAUGGCGGAAUUUCGAUCAGUACGAGUAGAUCAUUACACUACGAGCACAACAAAACUAUGAACCAAGAUCAAAGACUCAUCUAAAACUGCACAUAUCUCUAUAUGUGCCCAACAAAGUCUAAAACAACAUAGUAAUGGCUUUGAUACCAAUGAUGGAUUAUGAGGACGCUACACUAGCUUGGAAACAAAAAUUUUGACCUCAAAAAAAUAGGUUCAGCUGCAAGUUAUAGGUCACAGGAUUACCACUAGACGCGCAGGUGCAGCGGAAGCGACUCGGUGUAGUCGUGCGUGUAGUAGCAGUGUCGUGCAGUUGCGUGGUCGUCCACCAUGCCAAUCCCUCUCCUCUGGUUCAUCCUUGUGCUUCAGAUGUAGCACCUCCGAGGUAUCUCACACGUGCAAGGAAGAAGUGUUGCGCCUCUGGACUGCUAGGUCACAAGGAUCAAUAAGCGUGAGCAUGAGUGAGCGGCGGUGGCUUCCUAAUGGCGUGGGGUUAACCCGGGCCGUGCCCUCUCCCUCUUUUAUAUAGGCAUCCUCCAAUCAGCCCCGAGUCAGAGGCCCAAUUAGAAACCCUAAGUGAUGAGAACAAGGGUGGCCCGAACUUCUGAAAGGUUCUGGUAACUCUCGAUUUGGUGGAAACGAGACACAAAUCGAUCCGGCUUCCGGACAACAUGAUCCGAAACUCCACAAUCGCAGCACCACGUCUCCUCUGGUUAUCAACCGGCGCUGCGCGAUUGACCUCGCCAAGAAGGCUAAGCCCUUUGCCUACGAAUCGAAGAACACAAGCAAGAAUAAGGAAGAAUGCAAUGAAUUUGUAGAUCAAAGAUUAAUCUCAUGAGUUGGGGUCUCACAAACCGAUGAAACGGCGAAACUGUUCUUGAUAGAAUAAUCUAAGCAAAACCCAAAACCUAACGAGAGUGGUGGCGGCUGUAUAUAAAGGUCUAAGGGCCGUUUCCACCCCUGGACGUGCUCCCCUAAUGGGCUCAACAACGAUACAUGGCCCAACGGAACAAAAAUGGUGACGCAGCAUCGAAACAGGUUCUGGAUGCUGACUUGUUUUGACGUUUCCUGAUGACUCAUAAGUAAUUUGGACCUCAAACCAACACCAUUGGUUUCCUUAUGAAGUUAUAUUUCCAACGAUGGCUAGAACGUUGAAAACGAAGUCUGGAUACGUCCUGGGUGUCCGUUUUACUUCUCGCUGGUCCUGGACUCUCAAACAGGCUGGAAGUCGACUCGGUUGGGUCUCCUCCUUGACUUGGGCGCCCUUGCUGGUCCUCCACGCCUCCAAGCCAUCCCUUAUCCAUCCCUUGGUCCUCUCCAUGAUUCCUAAGCACGAUAUAAUCAUUAGGUAGUAAUAUAUUCUCAAAAUCAUACAAAGACUGACUUAGGAACGAGCUCACCUAUAAAUUUAAUUGUCGUGCACGAGCUCUUGUGAUUAGACCUUGAAUGUCCAGCCGAGGAUCAUCUUGUGCAUCCAAAGGAGUGAUGUCCUCAUCAUCCUCCCCUUCUUGAAUUAGAGUCAUCCUCAACUCAAGGUCAUCUUCUUCUCCCAAAUAUGGCUUCAAAUCUAAAAUGUUGAAAGAAGGACUAACCUCGGAUUUGGGUGGCAACUCAAGCUUACAUGCAUUAUCAUUUAUUUUCUCAAUAACAUUAUAAGGACCAGAAGCUCUUGGCAUUAAUUUUGAAUUACACAGCUCUGGAAACCUAUCAUUUCUUAAAUGUAACCAAACUAAAUCACCUAGUUCAAGUUUAAUGUCCUUUCUACCUUCACUACCAGCAAUUCUAUACUUUUCAAUCUUCUUUUCAAUAUUUGCUUUAGUGGUUUCAUGCAACUUAUGAAUAAAUUCAGCACAUGCACUAGCAUCACUAUGUGUUCUUUCAGUGGUAGGUAAAGGCAAAAGAUCAAUUGGAGUUCGCGGGUUAAAACCAUACACUACCUGAAAAUGACUUACCGUGGUAGUAGAAUGUGUUGCCUGAUUGUAAGCAAAUUCCACAUGAGGCAAACAUUCUUCCUACAUCUUCAAAUUUUUCUUCAAAACAGCUCUCAACAUGGUGCUCAAAGUGCGGUUCACUACCUCUAUUUGUCCAUCAAUUUGUGGAUGACAAGUUGUUGAAAAUAACAGUUUUGUAGAAGUUCAUCGAAAUUAAUGCCAAAAGUUCAUCAAUCUCGCCCCCUCUUAAAUUUUCCAUAGAGUACGCCAAAAGUGACUCAAAAAUUUAGCAUCGCGAUCUGAAACAAUAGUAGAAGGCAUACCACGCAAGUGAACAAUCUCUUGGAAAAAAGAGGUCCACAAUAUGCCAAAAGUUCAUCAAUCCCGCCCCCUCUUAGUCUUAGGCAAUCCCAAAACAAAGUUCAUCGAAAUAUCUGCCCAAGGAAUAGAAGGAAUAGGAAGAGGCAUAUACAAACCAUGAAGAUUCAGGUGAGACUUAGCUUUUUGACAUGUGGUGCAGCAUGCCACGAACCGCUCAACGUAUCCUCAUGUGUGGCCAAAAGAAGUGUGUGGCCAAAAUAUCUAAUGUCUUCUUAGCACCAAAAUGGCCCAUCAGUCCUCCUCCAUGCACUUCCUGCAACAAUAACAGACGAACGGAACCAGCAGGAAUGCAUAGAUGAUUAGCUCUAAACACAAAGCCAUCAUUUAUCACAAACUUGUUCCAUGUAUGACCCUCUUUGCAAUUCAGCAACACAUCUUUAAAAUCAGGACCAAACACAUAUUGGUCUUUUAUUGAUUCAAGCCUAAAAAAUCUACACUAAAGUUGGGACAGCAUAGUAUAUCGUCUAGACAAAGCAUCAACAAUUAUAUUAUCCUUCCCUUUCUUGUGUUUGGUAACAUAAAGAAAAGAUUAAAUAAACUCAACCCACUUAGCAUGUCUAUGAUUCAGAUUGUUUUGAGAACGAAGAUACUUAAGCGAUUCAUGAUCAGAACGUAUAACAAAUUCCUUAGGCCACAAAUAAUGAUGCCAUGACUCUAAAGAACGUACAAGUGCAUACAAUUCCUUAUCAUACGUACAGUAAUUAAGAACAGGGCCAUGCAAAUUUUCGCUAAAGUAUGCAACAGGCUUACCAUCUUGCAUCAACACACCUCCAAUGCCAACUCCACUAGCAUCACAUUCUAACUCAAAGGUCUUACCAAAGUUUGGAAGUUGUAGCAAUGGCGCGUGUGUAAGCUUGUCCUUCAAAGUAUCAAAGGAACUCUCUUGUGCCUUACCCCAAUGGAACACCAGACCUUUUUUGUCAACUCAUGCAUGGGGGCAGCAAUGGCACUGAAAUCCUUGACAAAGCGGCGAUAGAAACCUGCAAGACCAAGAAAACUUCUCACCUGUGUGAUGGUUUGGGGAACCAGGCAGCUCUUUAUGGCUUCAACUUUUGACUUAUCCACCUCAAUUCCCUAUGGAGUAACAACAUAGCCAAGAAAAGAGACUCAAUACGUGCAAAAGAUGCACUUUUCAAGGUUACCAAAUAAACGUGCAUCGCAUAAAGCAUUAAAAACAACACAUAAAUGAUCCAUAUGUUCAUCCAAAGAGUUGCUAUAUAUCAGUAUAUCAUCAAAAUAAACCACCACAAAUCGCCCAAUAAAAGCUCUUAAAACUUCAUUCAUCAAUCUCAUGAAAGUACUAGGUGCAUUAGUUAAACCAAAAGGCAUGACUAACCACUCAUAUAAACCGAAUUUAGUUUUCAAAGCUGUUUUCCAUUCAUCUCCAAGCACUAUACCACAGCAAAAGUAUAGUUUCUCCAAAACGGUCGCUAUAAGCCGUUGCUAUAAUGUUAUAGCCACCAAUGUAUAAGUCUCUAUAAGUGGCAUCGCUUUAAGAGUAUAGCGACCGACUGGUUUUAUAGCGACUGAUGAUUAGACCCAAAUAUUUAUAGCGACCGAUCAUCUGUUACAUAUUUUAGCGACCAAUCGUUUGACGAUAUCAAACAUUUUAGCGUCCAAUAAUCAGUCACAGUGAACUGACGCUAUUAUAUAUAAUAUUAAUUUCAUAUUAAGCAUAUUUCAAACAUAAUAAACAUCCGUAACAUGCCACAUUAUUCAACAACCACAUAUAUACAUUGCUGCUCAUAGCACUCAUGAAACACAUCAUUAGAUAACAAUAUCUCAAGUUUCAUGAAAGCCAACAUUUAGCAAUACACAUCAAGUUCAAUCAUCUAAGAUUCUAAUCCAUGACAGUUCCAUCAUCUGACACAACCUAGCUAGGUUAAAUGGUAGGCACAAGCCAUAUGUUUGCUUCCACAAUCUAACUCGAUUCACUACAAAAUGCCUCAUCUCCAUCUUAUCAAAAGCAAUAUGUUGGCUUCCUGGUGACUUUCCAAUAUCAUAAACACCUCCAAGGCUUCCGUCCCACCUGAAUACAAAAAAACACAGCGCACACUCGUAAAAAAAUACAGAUAAAGAUGACUACAUGCUACUUUAAACUAGAUUCCUAUGCUUUUUGCCCUUCCACAAAAUUUAAGGAUAGUUUUAACAAGAAUCUGCAUAUACUAGUAAGAAUCGAUAGACGCCAAGUUACAUUCAACAUAGUUGCAUUCAAAUAACAGAAAAAUAGAGUCUUGUAUUGUCAGUUUUUUCUCCAUUUUUUCUAAACCGGGAAAGCAGCAGGGGAAGGCCCCACUGUUAGAUUUUCUAUAUUUAGAUUGGUCAGGUACAAACAUUAGAUUCUAGACAUAAGCUUUUCCAUGCCUGAUGAAAUUGAGGUAAAGGUAAUUCCUACAUGAUGCAUGUCCAACACUGAUAACAAUUAUCAGUUAGAAUUAUGCUUUCAAGAGUUUCAUAUAAAAUCUGCUAGUAGCAUUCAUUGGCCAUUAAAUUGCAAUUUUUUUAGCUACAUUUGCACAAGAUUGCAAUAGAAAAAGGUAGAAAUCACAUUUAGACUGCCUAUCUUUGUUCUAGCUCUUCUCUCCUCCUGCUCCAAGUCCACAGUGUAAAACAAGACUUACUUCAAAGUUGGGAGACAUCUAAUGAGUUACAAGAUACUCCCAUUAACUAAAAGCAAAAGCUAAGAAACCAAUCAAUCCAUGUUCAACCUUCACGCAAGACAUCAACCAGAUUUCCAUAUGAAAUAAAAAACAUAUCAUAAGCACUGAAAUAGUCGCAUACUUCUACAACUUGAAAAAAAGAGAGCAACAACUAGGGAAACAGAAACCUACCGAUACAAACAAGUAGAGCUGCUACUGGAGCAUGUUCAAAUGCCUUCACAAGGUGUCCAGCUACACAUGGAGCAGCUGCAAUUAAAAUAUGGUUAGGUUAUACAUGUGCAUAUAUUACAGCUCAAAUAUAUCUCUUAAAUACCUACAGUGGCAGAGGAUGAAAUGAAAAUACACUACAAAAUGACCACCCCUCUUGCAAUGCAUAUAUACGUUGCUAAAGGUACAUGUAUGUAUUGGUAAGGUCUAUAAGGAAAUGGUACACUAAAUACUAGGAAACCUGCACAGAGAUAUGAAAACCGGGAGAGAACCAUUAGAAUGCUACAAAGUUAAAUUCUGACCUACUAGUAGGGUUUCCGUACUCUUGAUAUACUCAAAUUUCUAAAAACAUUAUCUCCCAAAACAAAUCUGCAAUAACAACAAAAAAACAAAAGAGGAAUGGGUGCAUUAUCAAUGCUUAUUACUUCUGAACAAUUGCAGUGCAGAUUAGGGUUAGAUCGAGGAUCCUCCUAAGUGUAGAAGAUUGAUGAUGGAGAGUGCAACAUUGAAUAGGAAGAAUAAAUUCAAAUCGCUCAUUAUUUCUCUAAUUACCAUCUGAGUAACUCGAUUCCGAAACAACCCCUAAACCUAAAUAGAUAUCUCGAGAGUUUAGAGAAUCCGGAACAAGUUAACCUCUCAUUCCAUCUAAAUAACACGGUAAGAACAGCGCCAAGCAAGAAGGGAUGGGGCCGGCGCACGGCACCACAAGCAACUUACUUGGACGCGGCGGAGGCCGUGUCCUCCUCGAGCCACUGCCGGAGCUGGCGCGCGUUGCGGCGGAAGAGGGCGCCAGACCUGCGGAUGUCGGUGGUGAAGAGGAGCACCCCUGCGCCGCUGCCGAAGGAACCCUAGGACCCACACCGCUGCCGGAGGAACCCUAUGCAACCGCGCCGCUGUUGGAGGGGCCGAACAUCGCUGCGCUGCUGUCGGAGAGAUCCGACUUGAAGCGCCGCCGCCUAAGGUGCCGCGCCCCGCGUCCAUCCGGGUUCUAGGCCCUGCUUCGCCGUCGGAUCCGCCGCACCGUCACAGGCGCCAUGCCCCUGCGCUCGAUCCGCGCAUGCGAGAGAGAGAGAGAGAGAGAGAGGGAGGGAGAGAGAGAGUUGUGUGGCUAAGGGAGGGUCAGGGAGAGGGAAGAUAGGGAGAGAGAGGAAUGGGUAUAUAGUCUAGGGUUUUUAGAUGGCCCGAUUUGGGCCAUGGUCUGCAUAGUAAUAUUGGUCAUUUCUCCAUCCAACUUUAUUUGAACAAUUGAAAAUUAUAGAAUUUUUUUGACAAAACUUAGAAUUAUGACAAUUAUUUUGUGGUAAUUUGGAAACAAAAGAUGAACUAUUCAAAAAAAUUCCCACCAACUCUAGGAUAUGGAUAGAGUGACAUGUGUGAGGAUAAAUAUAAUUCGUAUAUAAGUUUUGAUGGUUUUAUUCCUGCCUGCAGAGAUAAAGUUUCUUGUGCGCUAGUAGAAAGUUUUCUGUAGACCGGUGGAAACCCUCUUGUGCGCUAAUAGAAAGUUUCUUGUAUACCGGUGGAAAGGAAAGUGUUUCCUAUGCGCUAGUAGAAAGUUUUCUGUAGACCGGUGGAAAACCUCUCUUGUGCGCUAAUAGAAUGUUUCUUGUGUACCGGUGGAAAGUUUCCUGUGCGCCAGUGGAAAGUUUCAUGUAUACCUUGGUGGUGGCAGUUUUGACAUCCCAGGUUCAAAACUCUUUUGUAGUCACAGAAUUCGCAUUACUGAACGUGGCAAUGUUCUUUGCAAAUUAUCUAAAAAUAAUUCAACAAAUAUUUUGUGACAUAUAAAUAUACCUUAUGACAUAUCAAAUAUAGUCACUAGAGUGGGCUGGGCUGAGUGCGUCAAAAAUGAAAAUGAGCUACAGCGACCAAUCAUUUGACUCUAGCACUCAUUUUUAGCUACUGAUCAUUUGACGUAAAUAUAUAGCAACCGAUGUUUUGUCGAUACGAGGAACAAUAGAGAUCAAUCAUCGGUUACCAAUUUGUAGCGACCAAUUGUUUGAUGUUAAUAUUAUGUUUUAGCGACCAUUGUUUGACGCUAUACUUUGGCUGUGGUAUAGUGAAGUUUCAUUCUAAUUUGGUGGUAGCCAUUACGCAAGACAACCUUAGUGAAAAUUACAGAGCCACACAACUCAUCAAGCAUGUCAUCAAGCCUAGGAAUAGGAUGACGAUAUCGAAUAGUAAUAUUAUUAAUGGCUCUACAAUCAACACACAUACGCCAUGAACCAUCUUUCUUAGGAAACAAAAUCAUAGGAACAGCACAAAGACUAAGGCUUUCUCAUACAUACCCGCGGUCCAAAAGGUCUUGGACUUAUCGCUUAAUUUCCUUAGUCUCCUCAGGAUUGGUUUGAUAAGCAGCUCAGUUUGACAAUGUUGCACCCGAGAUCAAAUCAAUUGGAUGCUCUAUUCCUCUCAUUGGUGGCAGCCGUGGAGGUAUCUCAGCUGGGAAAACAUCCUUGUACUCCUGCAAAAGGUUAGUGACAACAGGAGUUAUCAAGCUAACAAUAUCAUCAAGCGAAUACAUUACUUGUUUGCAAACCAAAGUGUAGCAAAUAUCAUCUUCAGAAAUUUCAGCAAGGUCAGUUUUUCUUGCAAGCAUAAUGGCACCCUUCAAUUUAAUUCCCUCGGCCUUAUUAAUAGGUGUAAAUUGUCCUUUUAGGUGGCUAAACUGAAUUAGCAACUUGAUGAUUUUUAGAUUUAGGUUCAUGCAAACUAGCAGCUCGUUCUCUAUCAGCUUGUACAAUUUCUGUAGGGGUCAUAGGUACCAUAGUAAUUUUCUUUCCUUUAUGCAUAAAAUUGUAUGUAUUAUUUCUACCAUGGUGUAUAUCAUCAUUGUCAAAUUCCCAAGGACGACCCAAUAAAAGUGAACAAGCUUCCAUAUGUACCACAUCGCAAUCAGCAUAAUCAGAACAUGACCCUAUGGAAAAAGAAACCCUGCAAGUUUGUGUUACCUUAGCUUUUCCACCAUCAUUAGACCACUAUAGGUUAUAUGGAUGGGGAUGUUGACGUGUUGUCAAGCCAAGCUUCUUGACCAAAUCCGAACUCACCAAAUUAUCGCAACUACAUCCAUCAUUGAUGACAUGUGCAAGACAAUUGUUGAUGACGAAAAAAAUAUGGAACAAAUUAUGGCGUUGCAGCUUCUCUGAUUGUUGUACCUUAGUGCUAAGCGCCCGUUGCACAAUGACACUCAUGUAGAUCGUUGUGUCAUCGCUUCCCAUAACUUCAUCGCUCUCUUGCACAACUAGUUCAUCUUCAUCAUCUCCCUCAACAUCAGAGGUGCUGAUGUAUCCAUCUUCUGUAGUAAUGCAUGCCCGCUGACUCGGGCAAUCCUUCUGAAUAUGACUCUAUCCUUGGCAGUGGCGGCAUUGAAUGGUUGAGGUGCGUCCGGUAGAAGCAAUAGAGCUGGCACUUUCAUUGGUUCCUGCAAAAUAGAAUUUUUACCUUAACCUUAGGGUUGUGUAGUAGUCUGUUUUGGUGUUGUAGCUCCUCCACAAGAUGCUUGCUGCUUGCUCGAUGGGAGGGGCACCCUCUAAGUGGAUGCCUUGUGUAACAGAACCGCCCAAAUUAUAAGAGAUUAAGCCUAAUAGUGACCGUUUGCACAGUCGAACCAUCAAGCUUAAGCCCAUAUAACUCCGGUAGUCCGUGAAUUCUCGAAGGAUUUCAAACCACAACUCAUACAUCCAGCCAAGAUCGUAAUAAGUUCAGCGAUCACCGUUCACAAUUACAACCAGUUUGCAAAAUUCAUCACAUACAUCGGAGUUCACUUAAAGUUAUUACAACCCAAGUUCACAUGGAGCGGAAGCUUCAUAGUUUUAAAAUAACACACAUGCUUAGUCCGACACAGUGCCAUAGUUUGAUCAUUCCCACAAAAGCAAAAGAGGAGAUAGAGUGACCAUUGCCAUUGGUCUAGUCAUCACCCAUUGCUGGGUACAAGCAGUGAAUGCAAUAACCAUAAUACAUCUGCCCAUCUGCAAAACAACAUGGGAAUAGAACCCUGAGUACGAGAAUGUACUCAGCUAGACUUACCCGUCAUAAACUAAAAGUAAAAAACUCUGCAAGGAUUAUGAAGGCUGUAUGGUGGGGUAGCUGGAACCUUUUUGCAUAAAAGCAUUACUUAACUAGGAGUAUGCUCUAGCAUUACACUUCUUCUUUACUGGGAAAAUAGCUCUCAUCUCAUAAGGUAACUGCAUCUUGUAAGCCACUUUGCCACUCUUUUCAAUGAUUUGGUAGGGACCCACAUAUCUAGGAGCAAGCUUCCUCUUCACACCAAAACGGUUCACUCCCUUCAUGGGGGAUACCUUUAGGUACACGAAGUCGCCUACUUCAAACUCGAGUGGCCUUCUUCUUCGAUCAGUGUAGCUUUUUUGCCUAGCCUGUGCAGCUUCCAUGUGUUUCUGGAUACUGAGAACCUGCUUUUCGGCUUCCUUGACGAAAUCAAUGUCGUAGUAUCUCCUUUCACUAGGUUCAACCCAGUUUAGAGGAGUCCUACAUUUGCGACCAUAUAAAGCUUCGAAAGGAGCCAUUUGAAUACUCUUUUGAUAUCUAUUAUUGUAAGAGAAUUCAGCUAAGGGUAGCCACUUCUCCCAUGCUCCCUUGGAAGAGAUAACACAUGCCCUCAACAUAUCCUCCAAUAUUUGAUUCACACGCUCAGUUUGACAGGAAGUUUGAGGAUGAGAAGCUAAACUGCAAACCACUUUUGUACCAAGGAGUGAAUGAAAAUGUUCAUAGAACCGGGCAGUGAACUGAGGACCUCUAUCCGAAACAAUGGUUCGAGGCACCCUAUGUAAUUUAACAAUCUGAGAGAAAUACAAUUCAGCAUAGUCGGAUGGACGGUAGUUAGAUCGCACCGGAAUAAAAUGAGCUGACUUGGUCAAGUGAUCAACUAUCACUCAUAUGGAAUUAUAACCUUCUUGGGUAGGGGGAAGCCCAACAAUGAAAUCCAUGCUGAUUUCUUCCCACUUCCAAUCUGGAACUGACAAAGGUUGCAACAAACAUGCAGGUUUAAGGUGAAUUGACUUUACAUUGCUGUAGGUAUCACAUCUAGCACUUGAGCCCAUCGAAUAUUUACGCCACGCAGAAGCAAUACUACAGGACAAUGCCGUGGAUAAGGAAAUCAGGUUGGUAUUAUCAACGGAGCCAGAACUAGAGGAAAAUGUCAGCAUAACACCUAUUAAGCGACAUAGGGAGAAGCGAAAACAUGAUCAAUUAGGUACAGAUGAACACCUUGAUGCCUACAAGGUGUGGCUAGCAAAAUUGCGAGCCAAAGAUGCAGACACAGGUAAGAUCGUUCUUUGCAUCACUCAUUCAAAUUGUUAUAACAUAAUGUUGCUUUGACAAGUGCAUCUGGUUAAUCAUGGCUCGCAGACUACAUUGAUGACUUCAGGGAUGAAACAAUUGAAACAUACAAGGAAUGGCUAAGGCAUACAGGCCGUCGUCGACAUAUGUGUAAUUAAAUAGCUUUCAUCAUGUCAUCAAAUAUACUACCAGCUCUUGUGCAUUCAAUAAAAUAACUGACACAUGCUGAUUUAUUUUUUGCAGUGUUUGAAGAACAUGUGGGUGAAGAUCAUUUAGCUGAAGGGGAGGGAAAUCCAGAAAGGAGCACGACAAACAAAGAUAGGCCAGCUCAUGCAAGAAAGCCAAAACAACAAGGGAGUGGUAUGUGCUGGUCCUUUCAUUUUGCAUUGUACCUUCAAGACUCUUUUGCCGAUCAUGUAUAUUAUAUUUAUUUCAUAUGUUAAUAAGGUGGAUCCAAAACUCGUGGACGUGGAUGUCUCAAAGGCUUCGAAGCAACUAUCAAGAGAAUUAAGAGCGGCUCUCAGAAAUUAAAGGUCGAAUUUGAUUCCUUGACGGGAGGCCCCUAUGGUGAGAACAGCCGCACAUUCGUCGAUGAGAUUGUGGUGUUUACUAGGAAAAAGGCUCCACUUAUAGGAGUGCAAUCAUGGAAGGAUGUGAAGGACGUUGUGAAAAUGGCAAUAGUAGAUGAGAUGCUGGUGAGUCAAUUGUUUUCUUUAGCCAAAUGUUAUGAAUUUAGUACCUUCACUUUACUAUUCUAUCUGUCUUUCCAUUCAAAUAGAAAGUUUGGGACUUAGAUGAUAUUGAAGAUGCUAGUGAAAAGAUAUGUGCAAUUGCCAAAGAGAGGUACAAAGGAUGGAGAGCUUCAUUUAGUUCGACAUACAAGGCAUACUCCACUGACGCUCAAUGAAUGAAGCACAAGCCUGAAGAUUUAGACAACGUGGAGUGGUACUACUUGAUCCAAUAUUUUGGAAGUGAGAGAUUCCAGGUUUGUUGGUCUCUGGUUUCUUUUGUAAUUCCACUGCUAAAUACAACAUAAAUAACAGAGCUCUACUUGUCCACUCUUGCAGAAUAUUAGCAGCAAGAACUCUGGAAACCGACAGAAACAGAAGACUAAGCAUCUCAUGGGAUCAAAACCAUUUUCUCAAAUUUGUUUUGAACAGGUGAUGACAACAUUAGCUAAGCUGAUUACUUACUUAAAUAUAUGGUCAUUGCCUAAUACUACAUUAUAUUGCUGAAAUCUCAGAGAAACCAAACUAAUGGUCAACAACCUACUGAUUUGGAACUUUGGAGGACGACUCACACCACCAAGGAUGGGCAAUGGUCAAAUGAUGACUCUAGGGAUGUCUAUGUGAGUGCCUGUAUAUGAUUGUAGCUUUAAAAUUACAGCAACAACAUGUUUCAAACUUAUUUUUGAACUGUUUGAAAUUACAUGAUCCUAAUUUAUUUAUCAUGUUUCACUUAGGAAAAUGCCUGCAUCCAAGUGACAGCGGCAAAAAAACGGAAGGAUAGGCCCUUCCUUACGGUUGAGGAGGAAAACACAGUUUUCCAACUCAACUACUCUAAAACUCUUGGAACAAAAUCAUAUAGAUGUCAUGGACGUGGAUACUUGGCAAAAUAUCCAACACGAAGCGCUCUACUAAAGCAAAGAGAAGAAGAUGCAGCCCAUAGUGAAGUUUUAGCCCAACAUGAAAGAAUGCAGCACCAGCAAGAGGUUGAAGAAUUAAAAGAAAAGCUUACAAAUGAAGUUUCAGCAAGGGAAAGAGAUAAGGAAGAAAGUAUGAAACAAAUUGAAGAAAUUAGGGAAGAAUUCCGGUCAACACUACAACAACAAAUACAAUUGGCAUUGCAGCAGGUACUCACUUUGGAACAUGGUUCUCCUUUUUUUGGCUCCUCUAUUUUGGCUAAUGUUUUGUCUUUUGGGCUGCACAGGCUAUCACAGGAACCAUCAACACCACACAGCUUCCAAAUGGCGAAAGUAUUGACAACAACUUCAUCACACCGCCACGCAUAGAGGACGAAACUAUAGUGGUAAUAAAAAUGCAGCAAGAUUACUUACAAAUGAUGCAACAUGUUUACACAUAAAAUGCAACUUGUUUACAUCAAAGCAUCCAUUUUGGCAGAAUAAUGGUCUAGCAAGCGUAUUGACCACAGAAAAUGUAGUUGAUGAAGGUACUACAAUGAAAACAAAGAUUAGUGCUACUAGGCCUCUUUUCCAGAAAAAGAAUGGUGCCAAUGGGUCAUUGAAUCAUGUAAUUUCCUCCCAACAACUAUUGGGGACUCGUAAUCAAAUGAAACAACUGCAGGUAUGAAUAUUAUAUAUGAUCAUUAUAUUUCAUAUCCCAAACGAUAUACGAUAUUUUUGUAGGGUGUACCUUAAUUUACUUUAUAUCUUUGUUUUGCCACUAUGAUCUUUAAAUUUGCAUGUGCUUCCAAGGUUCCUAUUUAAAUUAAUAAUAAAUUUUAUAUGUGUUCAUGAGUUGCAGAAAAGCACGGACACCCAAAAUAUUUAGACAAAGCUUUAUGCCUAUAUGCUAGUGAUGGACUGCUAGAAGAAUGAAGUGUUGAUGGGUGAUGGAGCUUGAAGCGGUCAAUAAGGGAACUCAUACUUAGUUAUAUUUUAUUAUGCCAAACAUGGUUUCAAACUUGUCUACGGAGAUGAUGUUUUUACUGUACUAUGGUCAUGUUUAUUUUAGUAGUACUCUGGUCGUGGUGUUAUUACUUUGGUUGAGACAUAUAUUUGAAGUUAAUGAAUGUUUGAAUUGUUAUAUGUGAUGCUGAAGUCUGUACUCAUGCACAAUAAUUUUGUAACCAAAAUUAAAUUGUAGCUAUGAAACAAAACUAAAUGUGCUGGCCAAAAUGCACUUGUUGCAACAAACUAUCACGCAACCACUGUUUGUUGUUGCAAUAUGAAUUAUUGCCAUAAACAUUAUGUGUUCUUAUAGGAUGUGUCUAACACCAACAAUGACUCGUUGCAUUUUUCACCUAUUACCACCAACAAUGAUUCAUUGCAUUUUCCACCUAUUACCACCAACAAUGUGUCAUUGUAUUUUCUAUCUAUUACCACAAACAAUGCUUUGUUGCAUUUUCUAUUUGUUAUCACCGACAAUGAUUUGUUGUAUUUUCCAUUUAUUGCAUCCAACAAUGAUUCAUUGCAUUUCCUAUCUACUACUACCAGCAAAUGAACGUGGCAAUUGUGACUCUAGCCACCAAAUUUUUUAUGUUGCAAGAUUUCUAUGAUGCAAUGGAGCACACUGCAUGGCAAUAUGGGCAUAUACCCACGUAACUAUGGAGUAGUAGUAAAGUUAUUCUGCAACAAGUUCAUUCAUGGCAAUAGUGUCAUAUUACAGCCUUGUGUUUCGACGCAAUAGUAACUCACACGACCAUUCUGGUGGUAGCAAUAUCCAUGCUUGCAACCAUAUCAUGGUUGCACUAGUUUUUUUUAUGCGUUGCAAAACCAUCACAUUGCAACACCACAUCAAAAGGAUGCAAAAAGCUAUUGCACCGUUCCAAAUGCAACCACUUGUUAACGAUCAUACAUGGAUGCAAUUGAUCCAUAUUGCAACUAAAGUAGCCAUAUUGCAACCCAAUAUAGGCGUCACGACAGGGCUAGAUCCUAGUAGUGAGAGUAGUGAUAAGUGAUGGAGGAGCACACUUCAUCGACAAACGCUUCAAGCAAUAUCUAUCAAAACAUGGAAUCCGUCACAACGUCUUUACCCCCUACCAUCCUCAGACAAGUGGCCAAGCAGAGACUUCCAAUAAGCAAAUCAAGAAUAUUCUUCAGAUGACAGUCAAUGAAAUAUGAACGGCAUGGAAAGACAAGUUACCGGAUGCACUCUGGGCAUACCGGAAAGCAUACAAGACCCCAAUUGGAAUGUCCCCAUACCAAUUGGUGUACGGGAAGACUUGCCACUUACCUGUUGAAUUAGAGUUCCAAGCACACUGGGCCAUAAGGAGAUGGAAUAUGGACCUAGAUGUCACUGGAGAUCAUAGAAGAAUGCAACUAUCAGAAUUGGAAGAAUGGCGAGAGAAAGCAUAUCACAAUUCGAAGAUCUAUAAAGAAAGAGUCAAAAGGUGGCAUGACAAGAGGAUCAAGAAGAAGGAGUUCGCACCUGGAGAUAAGGUAUUACUUUUUAAUUCCAGGGUGAAGCUUUUCGGGCAUGGAAAACUCCAGAGUAAAUGGGAAGGACCAUUCAAGGUGAUCAAUUCAUCAUCCCACGGAGCUAUGACACUUCAAAAUGAUGAAGGUACGUUAUUCAAGGUAAAUGGUCAAUGCCUUAAAAUAUUUUUAGUGCCCAAUAAAUAAUUAGAAGAAAUAGAUGAAAUUCAUUUCUACCUUCCCAUGGAAAAUUAGAGCCCAACCUUUUUAAUCUGACGUUUUGGGGCCAUACAUAUAUUUUCCUAAUAAGAUUUGCAUCUAGAAGCACGCUCGAGGAAGCGGGCCCACAGAGGGGCCACGCACAGGGUGGGCGCCCUGGUGAAGUGGGCGGGCACCCAGCCCCUGCCCCCUCUCCGUCCUGAUUUCCUUCGUCACGGAAAACACAUUUAUGGUAAACCAAAUAAUCACACAGAUGGAAAGUUUCGCACGCACAGCGACGGGAGUAACCUGAACAACCCCUAGAGGCACUUUUUGACCCCUAUAUAAACAGACCCCUAAUGUCAGUUUUCAAACACCAAUCUAUUCAAGCCUUCUCUUCUUCUUCAAUUAGAGCUAGCUUAGCCCCUCGCUGCUCCAAUGGCCGAAGAGUUCCACGACGAUUGGGAAGUCGUCCCCUUCAACAUCAACAUGAAGCCCAAGGAAGACCCCGAUGCCCGUGCUCUCGUCCCGACCAACAUAGAGCGACAGCUAGAAGCCAUGCCAUUACGCCAGCGUAGCUCUGCCCAAUCCUACCAUGCUCAACCAGUUCUAACCGCACCACCACAGUCCCUACUUCUCAAGGGACCGUCAGCCAAGAAGGAGACCAUCGUCAAGGUGCUAGCCGGCACUAGGAUCCUUCCACCCAGACCCAAUGAGAGGGUCAUUGGAGUCAAGACCAACCGGAGCGGCGAGAUCAGCAGCAUCCGCUACACUAUGGAGGAGGAGAGGCCUUACUUUGAGGGGAUUAGAGCAGCCAAAGUCCGUUUCAUCCCUCCAAAGGCAGCCUCGAAGCACGCUCUCAAUGCUUUUGAGACACCUCCUAAGCGUCGCAAGACUAUAGUAGACAUUGAUGAGAACAUCCGUAAGCUAGAUAGGGUCAUCAUAGACCUCCAGUCCUCAGUUAACUCUAUCACUAGGUAGCUCUCUAACCACAACACCAUUAUACUAGGCCUUAGGCAUGAUCUUGCUAGUGCUAAUAAGAAGAUCAGGGAGUUAGAGCGCCGCUAAGUUAUCUAGAUUAGAUCUUGAGGCAAUGCUUCUUAGUUAUUUAUCUUUAAAUUCGGUUUAGAUUUACUAUUAGCUUUAGUUCAUUACUAGUAAUUUGUAAUAAAUGCCUCAAGAUUAAUAAAGAUUAUUAUUAUUAGUAUGUCUUGUGUGUCUCUACUUUAUUUUUGUGCAAGAAAGCAGAAAACAAGUAUGGGGGAGAUCCCUCGACAUGCCAAACACACUUCGACUACACCACUCCACGAUUCAGGUACAUACUCUGCACACUUUACUUUACACAAAGACAUAUAUCUUGGAUUAUGCAGAACAUUGUCUCCAACAUGAUAAAUUAAAAAUUAUGAUUAAUCUCACUCUGUGAAAUUUCCUGAAAACUUGCAAUUAUUAUAAAAUCAUUUUAAAACCCUGUGUUACUUUAAGUCAUUGUGGAGUGUGAGAUGGUAGAGUAUGAGUAUCUUAUUCUUGAUAUCAUUGUUGCUUGGAGAAUUUAUUUCAAAAUCUUCAAAAAUUCUAGCUACCAUCCUCAAUGUUUUAUAUGCCUGAUAAACCUGAAAAUAUUAAUAUGAUAAUUAUAAAAGCCAUCUACUCUGUAUUGAGUUUGUACGAAAUUAGUUAGACCCUUGUUGAGAGAUUUAUCAUGCUCCUAAGAUCAAGACAUUAUUUCAGAAAGAUUCACUCUUCCAAAGUAUUAUUGCGUUAGAGGCAUUGGCUAUGCAAAAAUAUGAAUAUUUCGAGGAAAUAAAAAGGAGCAAGUGCUCGACAACCUCACAGAAAAAAUGGACAAGUGUCCGGCAGUAGAAUUAGGGGUACCUCAGUAUCCACUUAAAAAAAAGAAAAUGAUAGCCCAUGGUCCCUCUAAUAAGCAAUAUGCCAGCAAGAGUUGACAAGUUUUAAAUUUUCAAAGUCUUUGAUCUAAGAGUAUGGCAUUCCUCUCCUCGGAUCCUGUUUUGAUCAUGCGAGAAAUGCAAAGUAAGUAUGCUUGAGAAUUUUUGCAAAUUAAAACAGCCCCAGUGAGAUAUAAAAAAGAUAAUGAGUGACCUGAGAGAACCUAUGAGGAUAAAGGUAUGCUAAAUUUCUUUUCAAAAAUAUAUAAAAACUCCAAGUGAUAGGAUUGGGAAGAAAGGACCUCUACUCUUGACCAUAUAUUUCCCUGACUACGGUACACAGUGUAUUUUUGCACCCUGCAGGUAUGAAGAAGAUGCUUUACAAUACUUUACCCUAGAUAUUGUUCUUAACCAUCCUUUUCACGAGGACGAGUAAAAGCCUAAGUAUGGGGGUAUUUGUUGACGGUUCUUAAGUAUCAAUUUUAAUUAUCAAAUAAACAAGGGAAAGGUCAAAUAUACAAACAACACCUAGAAUUAGGGUUUGAUUUGACAGAAUUCCACGAGUUUUGUUGUUUAUCUGUUUCUACAGGGGGUUAUUAGGAAAUAAGGAAGAAAGGCCCACAUGUCGGGAUUACAUAGAGAUAUUAACGCACCGCACAAUUUUCUACCAUCUAGAAGACUCCAGAAGCCACGGGAACGAACAGGAAGGCAAUCGGGCCCGGGGGCAGGGCGCCCGCCCAGGAGUUCUGCCCAAUCACGUCCAAACUCGCGGAUCACGCUCCACCGACCUAAAGGAUCAAGGAUAACCAUUCAAUCAAUGUCAGUUUGAUCCAACGGCCCACGUUUACCUGAGGGUAAUAUAUAAGCAGACCCCCUGGCCCCUGGAGGAGAACAAGUUCGUCAUAGAGUUGAGAGGAGCCCUCGAAGGAUAACCUCUCCUCUAAAUAGACUUAUGGCUUAGCAUCUAAUGUGAGUAGAUUAGAUCUACUAGAUUGAGAGAGAUAGAUGUAACACCCCAGUGUUAUGGUUGCAUUAAUCCUGUGCAUAGCAUGAGCAUCAUCAUCUACUCAAAGCAUAUCAUGAUCAUCAUCUAUCUUGAGCCGUGUCAUUCUAUGCAAAAAUGUGAUCUAAAUUGCUUAAAUAGGCUUCCUAUGCUUAUGUUUGAGUGAACCAUGCUUGUGUUUGUGCUCUAUGCCUUGGUAAUUAGUUUAUCUAUGCUUAGCUUAACCUUGGGAACAAUGUUCGUGUUGAUCACUUCUCCAAAAUAAUCACUUAAGUCAUACUUAUGCAUAUAGGCUCUAGAAACCUCUUUUGCUUAGGCUUUUAAAAAGUGUUUCAUAAAAUGUUUGCAUGUCAAAACUUUCUACAGCAAAGUUGUAGGAAAUUUUAUAAGGAACAAAAGUUGUUUUAUGGCAUCUCAUGAAAAUGAUCACAUCUAGCUCAAAAUUGACCCACAAGGUAGUUUUGGGUCUGUUUCCAUCACUUGGGAAAUUUUCUAAGUCGUGGAGCGAAAAACAGUUUGCUUGAUCGGUUUUGAAAACUCUAUAUCUCUCAAUCCAGGUUGAUCUGGCUUUUGCUCUAGUUGACAAUGUUGUAGAACUCGAUUGGAACUCCAACUUUGUGAACUGCAUCAUCUCCUAAUUCGCUCUGGUUUGGGAGAUAAUCACCGUCGAAGUCGCUCUGUCAGUCGGUCAUCGCGUUCUCUGAAUCAAACGCGAGCUCGCCGACGUGGCCAACCGGCGACAGAGCAACGGCGACAUUUGGUGCCCGUACGCCGCCCCUGGCCCCGCUCGUCAGCUCCCAGCGUGCGCAUGACCUCCACGGCGACGCCCCGGACGCAGUGGACGCGUCCACUCUCUCCUUCCACUCACUCUCUCGCCAGAAACGCGGCCGCAGUGAGCUCACCGUCACGAGCUCACUCCGGCGAGCUCGUGCGCGUUCCUUGCUGCGUCAUUGCCCACCAAACUUCACCCAAAGCUUCGCCGUGAACCGCUCUCCAUUCUCCACCCAUCAUCUCGCCGUGAAAUCCACCGGCGAGCCGCCAUUUCCUUCUUCCCCCAAAUCGGGUCGCCGUGACCUUCUUUUCCGGCGAACUCAAUGCCGAGCCCUGUGAAGCCGCCCGUCUUCUCUGGUUAGGUCCUAGAGGUUUCUUAGGUUCCUAGCAAGCGUUUGCGCCACUUGGUGGACGCUCUACCGAACCCACCGUCGCCGGACACGAUGCGCAGCGCCGCCGUGUUUCCGCCGGAGAUGGGCGCUCUCGUGGCUAGCGUGUUCCACGAUGUUUCAAGCCAAGCCGCGUACCUAGGAAGCUUCGCCGUAGUCCGAUGGUGCUGUAGGAAACCCUAGGUCACGCUCUACCGGCCUGAGGACUCUGGCGUAACACCGAGCACCUCCGCCGAGCCGCCAUGAUCGACGGCGAGCCCCUUCGGGUGGCUCCGCCGUGGGGAAAAGGGGAUCAAUCGAGUCGCUAGAGUCUGGGGAUCACAAUGGUGCCCUUGGUUUGGCCGAAGACCUCGCCGUUGCGGAGAAAUCGCCGGCGAGAGUCGCCUCGGCAGUGAAGAAGAUGACCCUGACAGGCGGGGUCCACUGUCAGUGUCACCUCACUUCCCUCCUUUUUUUUAUUCAAAUCUAGAUUUUUGGCUUUAUUGCAAAAAUCAUAUCCCUAGUUCUGGUGAUCCAAAAAUGGUGAAACCAAUUUUGUGGUGUUUCUUGAGAUGGCUAGUUUUUAAUAAAAAUAUAAAAUGAACCAUGUUUUCUAGGAAAAUAUUUAUUAAGGAUUUAAUCUUGUUAUUCAUGGAUAAAUUCAUAUCUCUGGUUAUACUAUUUAGUUUGCCCUGAAAAUUUUAUGGUAGUCUCUGUUUGUUAUUAGAGUGCUUUGAUAAAUAUUUCAUAAUUUUUGGAGUACUGCAGCCUUGAUAUGUAAUUUAUGUUUGAGAUUUGGCUUGUUUCCUUGAUUAAAUCAUAUAAAAUAAUUGGUGAUUAUGCUGGUGUUCUACUUAGGUGGCAAACUUGUUCAUGGCAUUCAUAAUAUGUAAAUAAUCUGAAAUCUGUUGUUUGACACCAUAUAAGUCAUGUUUCUGAAAUUAUGAAAUAAACACCUUGUCACAUGUUAAAUGCAUAUCUUUAAUUUGGUAUGUGCAAUUGGUCUGAAAUUUUUAUGGUGAUGCCUUGAUGCCCUACCUGUGCUUCUGUAAUUUUUGUAGAUUUUUCUGAGCACUUUGACUAGUAUCUCGUAAUUAUGCUUCUUUCUAGAAUUAAUUAAUAAAUGCCUUGUUAAGUAAAUGUUUGAGGGUUAUCAUCUGAUGUUCUGGUUGUCUUAUGAUAUGCUUGUGCUCAUAAGCCAUGUGGUUGGCAUGGUUUAUGUUUUGGUUAUGUCAUCAAAUAAUUAAUUAAAGGGUUAAAGGCUGUUCUAGACAGCAAGGGAGUAAUAUAGUUUUUACUAGUUGAUAACUUAGUUUUCUGGGAGGCUUGUCUAAAUCAAAGUUUUAGUAAACUUUAUGGACUAGCUGUGCGUUAAAUUUGGGGUCUUUUGGUCUAGUAGUUUAAAAGUUAUGGCUGUUCCAAGUUGGGUUCCAGAAAUAGGUGCUCUCUGUUUUUCUGGGACAGAACCUGGAACUUUGUUUAAAUGGCUUCUUUAACUUAUGAAUCUUGCUGUGAUGUUCAAAGAUGAUUUGUAGACAAUUUCAUAAGCUUUCUAGAAUAUCCUCACUUAAGUUUGUUGGAUCUUUGUGGCAAUAGUUAUGAUCUGUUUACUGAGCUAAUCCUGCUGUUUGAUGCUUGCUGUUAUAGGCUAUCAUGAUAGGUUUUGGGCUAAGUUAACUUGUUAACUUGUGUGAACUUGUUAUAACUAUUGCUCCGUAAAUGCGUGUCCAGUGGGUCACUUAUGUUAUCAAGCAUUCAUUCUUUUGUAUGCACACCUUCUCAUUCACCGAGCAUGCAAUAGGUGCAUCGGACGUGGCAGCCUCCUUCGAUCUGCAAGUGAACCCCGAAGGCCAGGAGGGCAGCCAGGUGGUGGAGGUCCAGCCAGUCGGACUCGAGGAGCCCGAAGAAGAAGUUGAGUGCCCAAAUCACGAGCCAGCUUCGUUCGUGAAAGGCAAGCCCCGGAGCAUUCUAAGCCUCCCUUUACUUUUGAAUGUUUAUUUAAUAUGUUAUAUCUAUUGAUGCAUUAAGUAUAGGAGUUGUGAUGAAACCUUUGCUGCACUUUAUUCAAUCCUUGUCCAGAUAAUUUACCCUACCUUGGUUGUAGAGUUAGGAUCGGGUAGCAGCUUAGCCAUGCUUAAUCGGUAGAAGUCGGGUGAUUUCCUGUCACCUGCGCGAUAUAGGGUUGUGUCGGAUCACGAUGGUCUAUAUGUGCUAUCGUGGAUGGAACCUGAUUAAAUUGACUUAAGCCGGGCGGAGUUUUGCAAGGUUGUAGUAACUCCGUCUGUGGCAGCUAAGGACCGACCGUUGUACAUCCUCUUGUCAUGUUGAACGCAUGCCUAACACUUAGUUGGCCGGAUUACUCGUUCUGACCGCGAAGCCGAGUAGAAUGACUUAGGCCGGAAGAUCGGCAAGUAUAAAGUGCACACUACCGGAGGAAGUGUGGUGUGCGGGGGACCAUUGGCGUAAGCCCAAAGGCAGGAGAGUUAAAAUUCCUGACCUCCCUGGCAGAGUGGUAGCCCUGGGAGUGCGGCGCUGAUCGGAGCCGCGAUUCCUGAGUCGUACCAAAGGUGACCCUUUGGCUCUCCGAUGGGGGAUGCUUGGGUGAGUGCUAGGAAUACACCUCCAGCUGGAUAGGAAUUCGAUUCGAAUCGCCGUCUCUCCCGGUUAGUGAGAACUUGACAGAGUAGCGGCAAACGUAGCAUUCACUAAUGAACUUGGUUCAUGAUAAUAAUGAUAGCAAGGAAGAAUAUAUGAUGAACUUGAUAUGGUUAUUAUUGCCUGUAAUAAUAAAGUGAAGUGCUUUAGUACAGGUGCCAAUCUAGUGGUAGGCUGAUAAUGAAUAAACAUGAUGCUCCCACAAUAAGUUAGUUUUAAUGCAAGCUUUUGGCAAAUGUUGAGUCAACCAGCUCCACUUGAUAUUAGCCUUGCAUGAUCCUUGGUGUCUUUUAUGUUUUACUAGACGGGUAAGUCUAGCUGAGUACAUUCUCGUACUCAGGGUUUAUUCCCACCUGUUGCAGAUGAUAUCUUUUAUGACGGCUUCUGCAAGACUUGUCUCCAUCCCGCUGGGGAUGGGGAUUAACCGUUGGGCACGGUUCUCUAACAAACUCGUACCUAUUGCUUUUGGAAGGAUGGUGUAGACCCUGGCAAUAACAAAAACUUGUGAACUGAACUUUGAACAAGUGUGUGUAAUUAUUUUGCUUCCGCUACUUCGAACUUGGGUUGUAAUAACUUAAUGACUCCGAUGUGGUGCCACUUCGACGACAAUGAAUAACUAUGUAACAUUUGUUUUAUUUAUGUUGAACUAUUACGAUCUUGGUUUGUUGCGAGUUGGUUUGAAAUCCGUCGUGAUUUCAGUUGACUACCGGGAUUAUAUGGGCUCAAGUUUGGAAACUUGAUUGCUUGUCGAUCGUUUCUACACUUGAACUCUUAUAAUUUGGUCGGUUCUGUGACAAUAGAGUGGAGGUAUAGAUCGGAGGAAGCCCGGCCUGUCGGUGUCUACUCCGAGGUUGUACCUACGGGAUCAAGUUCUCCUAACCCGAAGCUUGUUCCCGGGAUUCUUCACUAAUUUGACUUCUAAAUACUAGUAAGUUCUUGUUUUAUUGUUCUUUGGUUUAUGAGUUUACUUUAAUCUCUUUGCGUAGAGUUUAGAGUAAUCAUGUCUAGCGUAUACGCGGUGUUUGGGCUAGGAUAUUCAUAGAUAUUGCCUGACUAGCUGGACCGUGGCAGUAGCGAGGAACGUGACAAUUCCGAGUUACCUUUGCAGACCAUAUCUCAUUAGCAGGAAGGAUAGGGUUUAUAGGUGUGGGUUGAACAUCCUCUGUGGUGUCUAGAUUCCAUAAGCUUCCCCAAUAGAAUGGUAGAUUAUCCUUACCAAGGUUAGGAAGAGACUACAAUUGGAGCCUUCUCUAUAUAUCACUCACAUCGAGAAACAUUCUUUGUAGCCUAAAGGUUAGUAGUAAUAGACUGGGUUAGUCAGAUGCACUCUUUCUCCUAGUGGUAAAAAUAUAAAUACGAUACUCUAGAUAACCUCUCGGGUGAAGUGCUCACCGAUAUCCGUGCGCUUGCGGAUCAAUUCCUUAUUGCGUUCCCAAAUAUCAACAGAUGGAAAGUUAGGAGAGGGGUUCACAUCGGCUGAUGACUUAGUAGAAGUAGAUAUUGGUAGCAGGGAUAGGCCAAGGCCUAAUUUUAUUAGUGCUAAAUUAGAUUCCAAGUGUAAGCAACAAUUAACUAAUUUGUUGAAGGAAUAUAAAGAUUGUUUUGCUUGAGAUCAUAGUGAGAUGCCUGGAUUAGACCGAUCGAUAGUUGAACAUCGGUUACCUAUCAAAUCUGGAUUUCAGCCACAUCAGCAACCAGCAUGCCGAUGUAACCCUAAUAGCCUUCCUGAUAUUAGGACCAAAAUAACCAAACUGAUUGAAGCCAAUUUUAUUCGGCAGUGUCAGUAUGCAGAGUGGAUUUCUAAUGUUGUUCCUAUUUAUAUGAAGGGAAACUUCGUGUUUGCAUUGAUUUCAGGAACCUCAACAAAGCCACGCUGACGGAUGGCUAUCCAAUGCCUGUUGCCGAUUUAAUAGUUGAUGCUACAGAUGGGUAUCGAAUUAUUAGUUUUAUGGAUGGCAACGCGGGAUACAAUCAAAUCUUUAUGGCUAAGGAGGAUAUUCCCAAGACUGGCGCUAGGUGUCCAGGUCAUGUUGGUUUGUUUGAAUGGAUAGUCAUGACCUUUGGUUUGAAGAAUGCUAGUGCUACUUAUCAAAGGGCCAUGAAUUUUAUUUUUCAUGAGUUCAUCGGCACGUUGGUGGAAAUCUACAUUGAUGAUGUGGUGGUUAAGUCUGGGGAUUUUGUAAAACUUCUAACUCAUCUACGAAAGAUACUUGAGUACACAAGGAAACAUGGUUUGAAGACGAACCCCAAUAAAUAUGCAGUUGGUGUAUCGGCAGGUCAGUUCUUUGGUUUCAUGGUGCAUCAGAGGGGGAUUGAAAUUAGCAGAAGAUCCAUUAAUGCAAUUAAUAUGGUAGUUGCUCCUGUUGAUAAGACUGAACUGCAAUCGUUGAUCGGCAAGAUUACUUUCAUCAGGAGGUUCAUAUCUAAUUUGUCGGGCAAGAUCAAAGCUUUUAGUUCUUUACUUAAAUUGAAGGCUGAUUAGGAGUUUGUGUGGGGAACUGAGCAGCAGUUGGCCCUAGAUGAAAUUAAGAAAUAUUUGAUAAAUCCUCCGGUAUUGGUUCCACCUCAGCAUGGGAAACCCUUCACAUUGUAUUUAUCAACCGAUGAUACUGUUAUCGGUUCAGGUCUUAUUCAAGAAUUUGAAGGGGAGGAACAUGUCAUUUAUUAUUUAAGUAGAAGGUUGGUGGAUGCUGAGACAAGGUAUUUGGCCAUUGAGAAACUUUGCUUAUGUUUAUAUUUUUCUUGUAUUAAAUUGAGGCAUUAUUUGCUAUCGACCCAAUGCACUAUCAUAUGCAAAGAUGGUGUGGUCAAAUACAUGCUGUCAGUGCCGAUUUUAAGUGGUAGGAUUGGCAAAUGGAUCUUGGCGUUAUCAGAGUUUGAUCUACGUUACGAAUUGGCCAAGGCUGUUAAGGGGCAAGUUAUGGCUGAUUUUGUUACCCAACAUUGCAAUGCAGUAGGUUCUUUGGAAGUUGCUCCUUGGAUGCUUUUCUUUGAUGGAUCUACAUGUGAUCAAGGAGCAGGUAUGGGUAUUGUAUUAAUUUCACCCCGAGGAAGGAAGUAUGAGUUUUCAUUGCCGAUUGUUGCUACAUCGACAAACAAUCAGGCUGAGUAUAAAGCUUUGGUGAGAGGGUUGGAAUUACUUAGAAAAAUUUGUGCCGAUGCUGUUGAAAUCUUCGCUGAUUCUAUGCUUGUUAUAAAUCAGUUGAUGGGGAUUUAUGAAUUCUAGAGUGAAGUUUUAAUUUCGUAUUAUGAAAAGUAUUUGCAAUUGUUGAGAGAAUUUAAAGAUUUCUGUUUGGAACAUAUUCCCCAAUUACAUAACGAAGAAGCUAAUCGGUUGGCUCAGCACGCCUCGAGAUAUCAGCCCAUCCUGGUGGUACUCACAUCGACAGUUGAUGCCAAUGAAUGGAGAACAGAAAUCACCGAUUACUUAAAAGACCCAUCUAUGAAAGUUGGAAGACGUGUUAGAUUUCAAGCUGCUGAGUAUGUACUUCUCGAUGGCGAGUUAUAUUAUCAUACUCUGGAUGGAGUUUUACUCAAAUGUCUUGGCAAUGAUGAAUCAAAAAGCUUCAUAGUUUAAAUUCAUGAGGGAGUAUGUGGAGCACAUCAAUCGGCUUUCAAGAUGAAGUGGAUGAUCAGAAGAAACGGAUAUUAUUGGCCAACUAUCCUCGAAGAUUGUUUUAAAUAUUUUAAAGGAUGCCAGGGUGUCAGAAGUUUGGAAAUAUUCAAAGAGCACCUACAUCGUCCAUGAACCCUAUCAUUAAACCUUGGUCGUUCCGGGGAUGGGCUAUUGAUCUUAUCGGUCAAAUUUAUCCGCCAUCAAGCAAAGGGCACAAAUUUAUACUUGUUGCUACCAAUUAUUUCACUAAGUGGGUUGAAGCAAUUCCUUUGAAAAAGGUGACAUCGGCCAAUAUGAUUGAUUUUGUAAUGGAGCAUAUUGUUUAUUGAUUUGGUAUUUCUCAGAUAAUCACUACCGAUCAGGGUACUAUGUUUACAUCGGGAAAAUUUGAUGAAUUUGCAAUCGGUAUGGGAAUUAAUGUUUUAAAUUCUUCUCCUUAUUAUGCGCAAACUAAUGGGCAGACCGAGGCUUCUAACAAAGGGAUCAUUAAACUCAUUAAGCGUAAAAUUGAGGAAAACCCUAGGCGGUGGCAUACAGUGUUUAAUGAAGCCCUGUGGUCAUAUCGGAUGGCGUGUCAUGGUGCAACUAAAGUGUCGCCUUAUCAGUUGGUAUAUAGAGACGAUGCAGUACUACCUUGGGGAAUUAAAACUAGCUCUAGGCGGAUAUUCUCAAGAUCACUUAACUGCCGAUGAUUAUGAUAUUCUGAUGAAGGAUGAGUUGGAAGAUUUGGCAGGUCAUCGGUUGAAAGCUCUGGUUAGCAUUGAAGAAAAUAAGAAGAGAAUGGCCAGGUAGUAUGAUAAAAGGCAAAUGCCAAAGAGUUUGUCGAUGGAGAUUUAGUUUGGAAAUUGAUUCUACUGAUUGGGACUAAAAGUUCAAAGUUUGGUAAAUGGUCUCCUAAUUGGGAAGGUCCUUAUCGGAUAAGUCGAUCUGCUCCUAGCAAUGCAUAUAUCUUAGAAACUCUCGAAGGGGUUUAAUUUCCCAAAGCGUUAAAUGGAAAGUAUUUAAAGAAAUACCACCCAAGUAUUUGGGAUGACGCAUAAAAGUUUAAGUGCCGAUAAUGUUGACAGUCGAUAAUGUCAACUUUUAUUAUUACUUUAAACCUGAAGGAGAACAUGAAUACACACUAGUAUAGGGUCUAAACUAACAAUUUCCAUGUGUUUUGUAUAUUCUGUAUUUUUCAAGGUGAAUUUUAAGAAAGCUGCAAAAUAGGGACUCUAAUGCAAAACAAACAUAGAAACGUAUCCGCCACGGGAAACAACACGAGAGGGUUCAGGAAUACUCUGGAAGACACCUGACGCGAGGGGAGGACCAGCCGCCACCAAGUGGGACCGGCUAGCCCCUUUCUAAGGUUUGGUGCCCCCUUCCGGAAGCUUCCUCCACCGCCUUUGAGGAGUCAUCUCAGCCCUUGGUUAAGUCGGUUUGAUCCGACGGCGCGCGCGACUCCCACCGGACUAUAAAUAUGUGGGUAGACCCCCCUAGAGACACACCUCAUUAUUCAUCAAGGCCUCAAGCCGUCAAGCAUCAAGCGCCUUCAAGUUCAUCAAGAGCCUUCUAGUUCAUAGUUCUAGUUAGUUAGUGAAAAGCAUCUAUGCCCCUAAUGAGUUUUGAUGAUUAAUGAUAAUGUUGAUUGCUAUGACUAACGUGUGUUUUGCAGAGGCAAAGUCAUUUGUGUUAGGUCAUGGUAAUGGUGAUUGAUGGACUAAAAGGUUCAUGCCUACUUAAUGGUGGAAAUCGUUUUGGUUUUCAAAGGAUGGUUGGACAUCGUGGGGACUAGACUAGGUCUAAGUGCCAUAUGGUGAAGAAGGGCACUUAUAGUAGUUUAGGACUUUGUUUUCCUUUGACCAUACUAUUAAGAGGGUCAUUGAGUGGGUAGCUUGACCUAGACAAGGCUUUAGGUUUAGGUGUGGUGCACACUUGGUAAACCUAGCACUAGGCACAUCUAAGAAAGUCCUUAGAUCGAGAGGAACAAACUUCGUUUUGGAAAGAUCGUGUUUCGACAAAGUUUGGGUGCCUAAGUUGGCACCAAACGCAGCACCAGACACUAUGUGAGUGCGUCCAUUGAGGUUGACAAGGGUCAGAGUGACUGGGUGCCUAGGGUUCGGCACCGGACGCUCACGCCGGACUCACCGGGGAGCGUCCGGUCCCAUACCCAAGGAGGUCUAUAGAAGACCAGGGCACCAGACGCUAGCACCAGCGCCGGGGAGCGUCCGGUCCCAUACCCAGGGAGGGUGUAAAUUCACCGUCACACUGGACGGUGUCACUGGACGCACUGAGGGUGCGUCCUGUGCUCUAUCAGAGAAGGUACAAUUAGCCGUUAAUGUGUCACUGAACGCUCAGUGCAGUGCGUCUGGUGCAACAUUACCAGCGUCCAGUGCUCCUAUUUUCAGUGUAAAAUUGUUGGCCGACCCUUGGACUUGAUGGGGAGUAUUUAUACUCCUCCACCUCGUCCAUGGGAGGUCUCUUGCCCAUUUGAUCAGUUGAGAAUCACCUUGUGGUGCAAGAGAGAAGCAAGAGCCUGUAGAGGAUUGAGAUUUGAAAGAUUUCUUGAGAGAAUCCUUCCCUAGUUGAGUUCCAAUAGUCAAGUGUGCAUCCACCACUCUCUAGUGCCUUAAUUGGGUCAAGUGAGAGUUCAUUGCUUGUUACUCUUGGUGAUCACCAUCACCUAGAUGGUUUGGUGGUGAUUGGAGGCACGAAGACCGCCCAGAGUUCUUGGGGGUGGCUCGUGUCAAGCUUCUGAGCGGUUGUGGGCGAUUCACCGCGACGAAGUGUCAAAGAAUCAGCUCGUAGAGAGCACUUGGUCCUUGCGCGAACCAAGGGGGAGCAAGACCCUUGCGCGGGUGCUCCAACGAGGACUAGUGGGGAGUGGCGACUCUGUGAUACCUCGGCAAAACAUCGCCGUGUCUUUCUUUCUCUCCUCCUUUACUUUCUAGCAUUUACUUUGUGCAAUUACUUUGAGCUUUUACAUUCCUAGAAUUGCCAUGCUAGAAUAGGAUUGGAACUAGGUUGCAAAACUCUUUAUCCCGUAGCUCUCUAGAUCACGCUAGGCACAAGGGGUUGAAUUGGAGCUUAUAGGUUGCUUAAAUUUUCAGAGAAGCCCAAUUCACCCCCCCUCUUGGGCAUCUUGAUCCUUUCAGUUAGAUUAGAAGUAGAGGAGAUCUAGUUUUUCAUCGAGAUGUGAAGCCCCUGACGUUGGUGUGGAGCGCAAGAGUUCGGUAAUAGUUCUAGUUCUACUUUAUAGUAUUUCAUUGUAUAUUAGGGAGACUUUAUUCUUAAUAGAUUCAUAUGUUCUUAAUUACAUUAGUCAUUGUCUACUUUCAUUAUAUGUCUAGAAUAGAUGGUUUGAUAUUAUUGAAAUCAUGUAAUUGCUCGUAUAGCAUUUACCUAAUCGCUCGUUGGGUAGAUGAUAGACAGUAUCUAGACGUGGUGUCUAGAUAUCUUGUUUGUCAGUGAGUGCCCCCUGACGUGCCGAGUCAUGUGGUAGUCCACGUAGGUGACAGCUGUGUGGGUUCCUCUACAGUCCACCCUCCAUAUGUAGGGCUAGCAUGGGCGCGGUCGUGAAGGAGGUGACGGUUGCGUCUUAAAACCCUCACUAGUUGAUGCCUCUUUACAUGUAACUAUGAUAUAGGUUUAAGUUAACAAUGAUUUCUAGAUGUAAUUGCACUAAUUAGACUUAUUCAUUGGCGUAGUUAUAGCAUUAAAUUAGAUUCAACUCCCUAGUUUAUCCAUUGGCUAAUUAUUAUUACUAGUUGAUGCUCUGAUGAUUAUCUUUAUUUAUGAUACUUGAUGAUUACGCUAUCACUAUUAUUUAUCAUUAUUUAUCUUGUGACCUCUGCCUGUUAUGAGUAGAUUAUAGGAAUUAGGUAAUAUCAUUUAUUCAUUCUUAUCAAUAUAAUAGAUAUAGUUUAACCAUUAGACUUCCUAGUGGUAUAAAUAUAAAUCGACAACCUGGAUACUUUCCUAGGUAAAAUGCUACAACGGUAUAAUUAUCUGUCCACUUGCAGAACCCAUUUAGUUUACAAUUAUAUUCAUAUCUUCUAUUUCUGCCUAGUCAUAGUAAUACAUAUAAAUCUAUAAAUUCCUAGCAAUACAAUUAGGGAUGACAACCUACUUAAUGUUUAGGAAUAUUAAUAAAUAAUUAAGAAACUGGCUAGUUGCUAAUUGACAAGUUAUUUAAAUACCAUGCAUUUCAGGUAUUGUUACUAGGAGUAGUGUUUAUCUCUAUUUUUAGUGAUAAUGGUAGUAAAUGUCAACGGAUAACAAUCCUAGCUGUGACAGAACCGCCCAAUUUAUACAAAUUCAAGUACGACUGUCCCUGUUUAAUAAGUUGACACGCACAUACUCUCACUAAUAUAAACACGGUAGUCUACCGAGUGACACGAAGGACCUCGGUAAUCAACCUUAUACCAAGAUCGCAUGAUUAAGCAAAUAAACAGAGAUUUGCAGCAGAAAUAAUAUUACAAAAGAGUUCCCAAUAGUAAUACAAGUUUGGAUUUCCAAAUUGAUUAGAAAAUAACAUAGCUCUCAAAUGAUUACAAUAACAUAACUUUCAAAUACAUUGCUAGCAUAGGUGACAUCCUCUGACAAAAGCAUGUAGAUGAGAACAGUAUAUAGAUUCAUCGAGCCCACCGAUGGUUAGCCACCAUCUUUAGUAGACUGAAAACUUCACCUGCAACAAGGUGGGACAAACCCUGAGUAUGAGAAUGUACUCAGCUAGACUUACCUGAUAGGAGAGAAUUAAAAAGACUCUCAAGGAUAUGCAAGGCUUAUUUGGUGGAGUUGGUUGGAUAGCAUAACUUUGCCAAAAAAGAGCAUUACUAUCAUGAGUCCUUACUCUCAGUCUUUUAAUAAAUAUUUUAGCAUCAAAUUCCGUUAAGCUACCAUAGCUAGAUUUUGCACCUAUUCUAUAGCAACCACUUGAUUAAUAAGUGCAAGCCCUAGUUUGGUUUUGGAUAAUUAAUGAAACCCUAGUACUAACCUCUAUACUAAGUGUGUGUAGACUUAAUAAGGUUGGUACAUGACAAGUGAUGGAGCGAGAGAUGAUCAUGGUGAUGAUGGUGAUGACCACAAGAUGAUCAAGUGCUCAACUUGGAAAAGAAUAAAGAGAAAAACAAAGCCCUAUGGAGAUCAAGGCAAAGGUAUUGCUUAGGGUUUUGGUUUUGGUGAUCAAGACACCAUAGAGUGUGUGAUCACAUUUAGGAUAGAUGGCCGUACUAUAAAGAGGGGAAUUCUUUGACUAAACGGUUAUCAAGUGCCACUAGGUGUCAUUGUUCAUGAGCAUGCAUUUAGAACCUAGUGAGCUAACUUAACUCCUUUGAACAAAAUGAUUGUGAAAAUGCUAACACACAUGCACCUGUUGGUUUACACAUUGUGGUGUUGGCACGCUUUGAGAAGGAGGUGGAAUUUGAAGGGUAGAGAGAGGACGUGUUGGCGCUUUUGAGAAAAUGAAGUGCAUAUUUUCUAUUACACUGGUGGGAAACUUGGAGAAGUCGCGGGAGUGUUUCUCGCUAAGAAACACUCACCGGACGCUAUGUCUGUGUGUCUGUUGUGCUGUCAGUGCCUGGCCCUGUUAGGGUUAGGAACCGGACGCUGAGCACCGGACAUAGGUUAAACCCUGUUGGUGCGUCCAAUGUUGCCUGACUUCUACUGGAGUCUCUGACUGAGAGCACCGGAUGCUCAGGGUGCGUCUGGUGGUGCGCGUCCGGUGUUCACGCAUUUUGCAGAGCUCUCUGGAUAAGGGACCGGUCGCUCAGGAGCGCGUCCAGUGGUGUGCGUCCAGUGACCCCACGCGUUUGCAGACCUCUUUACGCACGAUACUGAUGUGCACCGAACGCGUCUGGUGCCAACUUGACCGCGUCCGAUGCUCUGCAAGUGACCGUUAGAGAUCGACGCACGAAAGUGGAAAGGGGGACACGUGGUAGUUUUUUAGGGCACUGGACGCAGGGCUUGAGCGUCCGGUGGUUCCCUGCAGCAGGUCCGAUGACCCCGAUUUCAGCCCAGUGAAGGAGCCAACGGCUCUAUUUGUUUGAGGGGCUUAUAAAUAGUUAUUGGCCGGCUUGGGCCUCACUCUCUUGGCAUUCUAGCAUACUUGACAUCCUUGUGAGCCUAAGCAAACACCUACCACUCAUCUCCUUCAUAGAUUAAACAUCUUUGUGAGAUUGGGAGUGAUUCCAAGUGCAUUUGCUUGAGUGAUUGCAUCUAGUGGCACUUGGGGAUCAAUUUGGCUGCGGUUUUCUUGUUACUCUUGGUGGUUGCUGCCACCUAGACGGCUUGAAGCAGCGGAGGAGCAUUGACACGAGUUGGUGAUUGUUCGUGGCCAUCUCUUGGUGAUUGUGAGGGGUUUUGUACCUUCCCCGGUGGAGAGCCAAAAGGUAACUCUAGUGGAUUGCUUGUGUCAUUGAGUUACCUCACUUGUGGGUAGGUUCUUGUGGUGUCCUAGUGAGGACGAGGUUCGUGGUACACCUCUUAGCCGCCGAACCACCAAGUAUUGGUCGACACAACGAGGACGUAGCGUGCCGGCAAGCACGUGAACCUCGGGAGAAAAAUCGGUAUCCCAAUUGUGUUUGAUUGGCAUUUUCCUGGUGCUUGAUUGUUUAUAUUGUUGUUUGGUUCAUCCCCUACACGGCGGUAUAAAUAUCUCAUCCUAUCCUUUACUUACCACAAAGUAGUGUAAUUAGUUUAGUUGCUUACUUUGUCUUGUGUAGUAUAGUUCACUAGUGUAGCUUGUAGUGACAUAACUCUUGUGUGCGUAGUGAUCUUUUUAACUAGAAUUGUUGGAUAGGUGGCUUGCAAACACCCUAUUUGAGCUACAACAAAAAGCUUCACUUUGGUAUUUACUAACCUCUUGCUCUAGUGAGUUUGUAGAAUUUUUAAAAUAGGCUAUUCACCCCCCUCUGACCAUAUUAGGACCAUUCAAUAAGCAUCACAUUAAUAACCAUAUCCAGUUUAUCAUGUAGCCAUCGUCAUCAUCAUAACCAUUAUGUUUCAUUUAGUGUAUCUACGUUGCCGCUGCUCAAGUCAAGUUCUCAUUAUCCGGGAGAGACAGUGAUUCGAACCGAUUCCUAUCCAGCUGGAGGGGUAUUCCUGGCACUCACCCAAGCAUACAUCGUGAAGGCAGCUUUAGAACACCUUUAGCACAACUCAGGACUAAGUCGCGGGUCCGAUCAGCGCUGCACCCCUAUGGAUGACAAUCUGCUAGGGUUAGGACUCUAACCUGACACCUCAGUCUUAUGCCAUUGACUCCCCGCAUAUACUUAAUACCAACCAGGAUGCGCACUCAAACAGAAUGGGGUAUCCGGCCUGAGUUGACUCAUAGGCUUCGCGGUCGGAACGACUUAUCUAGCCAACUAAGUAUUAGGCAUGCGUUCAACAUGACAAGAGGACGUGCAACGUAUCGGUCCUUAAACGACAUAGACGGGGAUAGAUCCACACCGAAGACCUUCAUGCCUUGUUGUUUCACUAUCAUCAUCCCACCCGAUCUCUAUUCAUUCUUAACAUAUAGUUAUUUCCACGAUAGCAAAUAUAGCCAACCAUGAUCAGGUAUCCACCUAUAUCUCGCAGGCGACAGGAAAUCACCUGACUUCCACCGAGCUAAGCAUAGCUAAGCAUAGAACGUCUUCCUCAUACUAGUAAGGUUUCAGGUAGUUACAUAUAGUGGACAAGGUAGGAAACAUGCACCAAUGGUUUCAUUCAACUCCUAUCACCUAAUGCAUCCUAUAACAUUAUACUCUUGUGCUUUUAUAAAAAGAGAGGGUAGGAGACUUAGAAUGCUCCGGGGCUUGCCUAGAAUCCGACACAAGUCAAUUAAGUUAGAUUGCACCGUGUUGACGACAUCUAAGGUGACAACACUUGUGUAGUCCUUCCAUCGCCCAGAUAGGUCCACCAUGACAUCCUUCACGUGGUUCAUCUAGCAUACCUAAAUGAGAUGCAAGAUCCAAGUGUAUGAACACAUAGAAGUGCAAUAGACAAUGCAUGAUAUACAGUAAGCAAGACAAGCAUCAUGUUACUCAACACAUACAUGUGUGUUUCAUGUUGCUUGAGUAACAUAACACAACCAACAUACUAAGAUAGAAAAGAAUGCAACCAAGUAUAUCAGGCAUGUCAUACAUGUUUCACAAUAUCUCAGGUGUAUUAACUUGGCCAUUAUCAAAGACAUGAGUCAUACAUAGCAAUGUACCAAGCAACAGCAAUACAAGGGAUCUGUCAUUUUUAGGCCUGCUAACAGCAGCUGAGUAAAUAAAUCAUAACUGGAGUUACACAGCUCCAAAGGAUAUGAAUUAAGACAUUCUGAAAAUCUUAGGAAAUUAGCUACAUUUGAUAUUUAGACAUCAUAGCAUGAUUCUCAACUUAAGCUAGUCAAAAUUAUACCAAAAGGCCAAAUACUACCAUUUCUGGAAUCAAACUUUGAACAGACACAACUCACAAACUGUAAGGCCAAAUACUACCAAAUUUUUUACAGCCGCUAGAUAAAUGAAUUAUCUACAACUUUGACAAUAACAAGAUUCCCAGAAAACAUAAUUUACAUAUUAUAAUCCAAACAGUUCCAGCAACUGUCCAGAAAAAACAAUUGCAAACAAUUAAUUAUUAAGUUAUGUUUCAAACAUGCAUUUGAGCAAAACCAUUAUUACCAACAGUUUGCACAUAUCUAAAGAACACUAGAAAACAUAGUGGUCACAACAAAUAAAUUUAUUUAAUGCCUUUCUUAAUUUAUUUGAAUAAUAAGGUGAAUUAAAGAACAUAUACCAAAAGUGAUCAGUAAAUUCCACCACAAUUACAGUAGCUUCUACAAACUAUCCAUAGCCAACUGCCCAAAUUUCAUUGCAUUUGAAUAAACUUAGCAACAUCUAUGAAAAAUAUAAAUUGCUAUUGCAAUUAACCAUGUGAGAGUAAGAUAAAUGCACAAAUCAUAUUUUCUUCAAACACAUGGCCAUAUUAUAUAUAAACAUGAUACACCAAUAUCAUAGAAUUGUACUGCAACAACAUUUUCCAUUUUUUACAUUUUAUUUACAAUUAUAAACCAUUUAUCAAGCCCCAUGCAAGUUAAAUCAAUAACUCACUCUUAAUGCAACCAAAAAUCAUGCAAAUUUUACCAUAAGAUAUAUUAAUAAAUUAUAUACAUCUUUUAUAUAGACAAGUUGCACAACAAACAUCAUUUAUAUCAUGGAAUUAGUUGCACAAUCAAAACUUCUCAAGUUGUCCUCAAACAGUAGGGUACAAAUAAAGACAGAAAACUGAUAGGCACAUCAAGCAAGCAUGACUGGAGUUGUAUACUUCCAGCAAACAUGGUUCUUAACUUUUUGGAAAUACUAUAAAUAUUUCUACAACUUUCCUAUUAUCAUCUAAAGAUGACUGCACAAAUAUCAAGGUCAAUUAACCCCAUGAAGACAUCUUUGUUCAAACAAUGGACAUAAUCUAUCUUGACACAUUAAACAACCAUAAAUUAUGGUUAUGUACUUUCUAGAAAGCCUACUAAAUUGUGAACAACUUUGUCAUAAACAUCUAGAGCUAAAUCUACAACUAACAAGGUCUUACAUAACAAACAAUGCAUCCCUGACUGGGUUUAGACAGAAACUGAAAUAGUACUUUAAACCACUAUAACUAAACAUAUGCUUAACCAAAAAUUAUGCUAUUUAGCUUGAUGGAAAGCUUAUGCAAAGUAAUACAACUCAUAUAUUUUCAUCCAGGCAUGAUUCACAACCUAACUGAGUCAAACAAUAUAAAUAUGCAGACCUACUCAGAAUAUGAGCAAAGCAACACAGGGUAUUUGUUAUUUUUAUAACUCUUAGUCUUUCAUUCCUAAAUUCAUGAAAAUUUUACCAGACAUCAAAAAUUAUAUUUAAGGCAUGUUACACUAUUUUCGCAUUUAUUUGAGCAAUAAUACAGUGGUUAUGAAAAAGACAAUUAUAACAAGCAAUUAAAACCGAACUGCACAAAUCUAUUUUUACCGUUAAAACUUCAAACUAAAACAUGCAAUAAUAUAGAUCUACUGCAUAGAGAAUUUCACAAGGUUUCCAAAAAGUCCACAUUUUCUAUUUUACGACUUUUCUAUGAAUUACUAUGCAUUUCCAAAGUCUCUGCAAAACAAAAGCGAAAGGAAAACAGAUCUUGCAUUGGGAACCCUGAACUUUUCAGAAACUAGAUUCCAACGAAUAGAUCCCUGCAGCACUAUUCACACAUGAGUCAUGGCUUCACAUCUGGAACCCUAACUUUUCUCAAAAUUCAAACCAAGGUCUCCGGACCGGUAAAAGGCUCAAGGGCGACACUAGAGGCAAGGAGAGCACCGAUGCACGCAGAGGAGGGAGUAGAGCACGGCGACACUGCUGGAGGGUUCUGAGAGAGGCGAGUACAAGUAGGGGCAGCAGCACAGCAGCAACAGCAGCUCUCUGCUCGACCAUCCAUUCCCAUGGACGGCCAUGGCGAGGAACUGGACAAGCAAGGGUGACGAGAGCGAGAGAGGGCGAGUGCGAUAGAUAGAGGACGAUUUGCCAUCCACAUUUGGGGCAUGGAAGAGGCACAGAGCAAGGUGGAGGUGGCAGCAAUGGAGGAGACGCUCUAUGCAUGGUUGCCACACAAGCAUUUUGUCGAGCACGUGGCGGGCAACAAAGUAGCAAUGGUGGGACGCUGAUUCGGGCGGCUUCUGGGCCGAUUUGGAUCAUGGGCCAAAAACGAAGUUUGUUUUGCUCGUGCUGCUCUACAACUUUCAUUAAUGAAGCUUGGCCAUUAGACCAACAGAUUAGGAGAUAAUUAGAUGCCAAGUCACGAGUGUCAACGUAUUGAUGGUGAUUAGCAAAACUAAGAAUUGAUGAUACAAACCAUGUCAAACUUGAUGCAACUUUUUACAUGACCUUCUCCAAACCAUUAUACACAACUUUUAUUUGUGGACCAACUUGAGUUGCUUAACAAAAACACGGCAUGCCAACGGGUACAUGUCUGUUUAGCGAUAAAAUAACCUUUUGCUGUUUUGGGAGCUAUUUUUGAACAUCCGAAUGAACUCCAAAUUUGAUGAAACUUGAUCCAUUGCUUUCAUCAAGAAGAGUACUCCAACUCAUAUUAAGGAAUCCAAUUGAGUUACUGUUGACCGUCCUUAAUGCUCACAUUUAACCGUCAACUAAUCAUGGAAAGUGAUCCAAAUGCAACCGACACCUAGACUUAGGGUUUUAUCUGACAGAAUUCCACGAGUUUUGGUGUUUGUCUAUUUUUACAGGGGGUUAGCAGGAGAUAUGGAGGAAAGGCCCACACGUCGGGUUUACAUAGAGAUAUUAACGUGUGCGCCAAUUUUCUAUCAUCCAGAAGACUCCAGAAGCCACGGGAACGAAUGGGAGGCCGAGCGGGCCUGGGAGCAGGGCUCCCGCCCUCCCCCUUGGGCGCCUACCCUGCCCUGGUGAUCGAUCAGGGAAGGUCUCGCGGAUCGUGCUCCAUCGCCUUUGAGGAUCAAGGAAAAUUGUGCGAUUAAGGUCGGUUUGAUCAGACGACCCAGGUUCAUUUGGAAGGGCUAUAUAAGCAGGCCUCCUGGCCCCUAGAGAACAUACCUCUUCUACAGAAUCAAAGCUAGGGUUUAAAUUAUUCAUCCAAGUAGAGAGGAUCUCUCUAGUUCAUCUAGUUCUAGUUCUAGUUCAUCUAGUUCUAGUUCUAGUUAGUUCUAGUUGUAAUCUAGAAAAUAGGGAGAGAGAAGAGGAGAGCGGAGGAGGAGCCGGAUCUGUCGGAUCUUCCUCAACAUUAUACUUUUGUAGCAACUCCAAGUUCUUCAAUUCAUAAUUCCUGAGUUCUUUAAUUAAUUUUAUUCACAUUCAAGUUAUUUAUUGGAUUCCCGCUUGCAUCAUGUACUCUAGUCUUUGAAACCCUAGAGUAGUAAUUAAAAGAUUAGACGUGGUGUUUAGUCUUGCAAUCAUCUGGAAUUACACACAAUCAUGUGGAUUGUUGUGGUAGCCCUAGGGUAGUGACAACCCUAACAGUCAACGUAUUCCACCUCAUUCGGAUAGGUGUUUGUAGGACCGUAGUCAGAGCUUCCUAGCCCUCUUCUCAUCUCUUUCUGUGGUUAGUGUUCUGAUGUCCCGAAAUAAAUAAUAUUUGAAGUAAUUUUUGAUUCUUAGAUCAUCUAGACAACUCUCAGGAAGCUUCCUCUCUUCCCACCAAAAAUAAUUAUAUAGUUAUCCUUGGGUGAUCUUGAAUCUUAAUUAGUACACUCACGUUACCUGUGGAAAAUUGAUACUCUAGAAUACUCCCGGGUGAAAGCUACAUCGGUAUCCGUGCGCUUGCAGAUUUUUCUGUUUGCGUUUAAAAUACCCAACAAGCUUUCUGGCGCCGUUGUCGGGAAUGGUAUCUGUGCUAGUUUUGAACCAAUCCUUUUUCUUUUCCUUUUUUACCACACUCACCUUACCAUUUUCACCAUACCACAUGGAUUUCACUCCAAACAUUAAUGAGCAUGGAAUUUAUUUGCAACAUUACCUUGUGUAUUGAGCAUAUAAGGAUAAUUGUAAAAAAUUCCUUCGGGUAUUCUUGUCACUAACCGUUCCAGGAUUGGAGCAAGAAGAUCGGAUGAAUGACAAGCACAAGGUAUGUCCAACUAAUCAUCAUACAACAUUGAAUUAAAUUCAUCCAAACUUGAAUUUUGCAAAAUUCAAGCUUGGGGGAAUACUUUACAUAAAAACAUCUUUUGCCAUGUUGCUAUGUUGGUUGUCCCUACCUUUGAGACAUACUCAAUUUGUUAAAUACUAAUCACACUAAUUCAUCUCCACUUGUGUAGAUCUCUAUAAAUGCUCUCAUGCUACCUUUAUUUGCUUUAGUAUAUGUCUAGGUUUGGAGUAGUUUCACUUAUCUCUUAGUUAAGCAUGGUGCUUAGUUUAGGAAUGAUGAUCUUACUCCCAAGGGAUUUUAAAUUAAGCAUGGUGCUUAGGUUAAAAUGCCCUCCUAAAUCAAAUUAGACAUGGUGUCUAGGUUGAUUUUUGAGCCGAUAGUAUGCUAUAGUAGAUAUGGGAUAUUUUGUUGGACUAACCCCUGUAGGAAAACUUUCAAUAUCGACCUGGGAAGUCGUGAGAUAAACUCACAUUGGAGACAAAGAGAGACACACAUUAAGUUUAACAAUUUACACAAGGAAGGCAUAGCGCACAAUAGAUGAUCCAUGGAGGGUGCCACAAACACGAUGCAUAACCGCUAAGAAAGGAAAGCUUCCACAAGGUGAUACUGUACCAUCACUCUUCAAGUAAGGUAACAUCUUAAGGUACUUGACUAUCACUUUUAUAAGCUUCUCCUUGGUUCUGGCGUUCACAUGAAUAAAAGAGACAAACAUAUAUGAUUUACAACUCUAGAUUAACCAAUCCAAUCGAUUCAACAUGUUUAGUCCUUCCACCUUUGUGAUCCCACACUCCUAAUCAUAUGAGCUAAAAUGUUGCACAUGCAAUCUUUGGAAGAGAUAUAUAUAUAUAUAUAUAACAUAAGUAUAGAUAGAUUAUCUUUCCAUUAGGUUGAGCGAUCUGAUCUGACAAAUGUUUUAAAUGCUACACUCAUGAUCUUAUUAUCCAUCAAUUUUGUCUUUGCUCACUAUUCUUAAGGUUAUAGAAGAACAAAUACACUUUUAGUUCUGUUGGUGUUUUCCACCAACAUGGCCCGUGCACUUGAUCUCUGCCUUGUCUCUAUGAGCAGGUACACUUCGAGCAAAAUAUGGAGGAGUUUUACAACUCCCAGACUCCACCAAGUGAAGAACCUGGAUCUACGAGCACAAACACACUGAGCAGGAUGCUACCAACGCCGCACUUCGAACUGCUGGGCAAACGAAGAACAUGGGUGACACCGUAUCAAGAGGUGCUGACGUCAAGAUCCACACCUGAAUCAAGUGAUGCACCUAGAGAAUGAUCACGGUGAGAAGUCUUGUUCAGAAGACUUAAAACAUUGAACCCUCACCGCAAGGUAAACUCGGUAGUUAUCCAUAUUUAUCCUUUCAGCAUUCUCUUUUCCCUUAAAUUAUUUACUUUUCUUAAUUGGCUUGUUAGUUAAUCAUGCUAUCUUGAAAAGAAAAUAAAAAUGUUAAAAAUAGUAAGCCCCAUGUGAGUAUGCUCGUGGCAUAAAACCAAAGAGAGUAAUAAUCAAAUAAAUAUAUUCCUAUCCUAUAAAAAUGAAAAUAUAAAAAUAAAUUUAUGAUCCUACCAAAGAGAGUAAUAUUUAUUAGAGGAAGCUCAACGUGAUAACGGCUAAGAGAUUUUAUGCUAACACUUAACCAGUUCCACAAAGCUUUGUUGUCUAUUUGAGCUCCACAGAAUUUAAGGAUCAAAGAAGACUAGCAGACGGAGGACAUCCUAAUCGCUGUUAGGGUGCUGCCUGUUGGGCAUUCUUAACGUCCCUACCAAAAGUAGACUUAGUUUUCUAAUUCUGAUAAUGGCGCGAAAAAUGCCAAACCUAUCCCUCAUGCCACUUAAGCCAAGUUGUCAUCCCCAGCAUGACAUGAGAGACGCGGUAUUGAAAUAUGCAGUUGCUCUUCAGAAUAAAUAAUAAAUAAGAUCUGCAAGCGCACAGAUUAAUACCGAUGUAGCAUUUUAACCGGGAAGUAUUCUAGGUAUCGUUAUUUAUAUUUUUACCACUGGGAAGGGAUUGCUAAACAUCAAUGUUGAUUAUAGAAUAGAAUAUAGGAUUGAGUAUUUAUCAUUGCAUGUAUAAUUGAGAGCAUUUAUCUAUCUCUCUCAUACAGGGAUAAGUGUCACAUAAAAGAUAUAUAAAGUAUGAAUGGUGACAAAGAUAAUUAAUCUAAUCAGCAUAACUUAGCCACAUAUAAAUAUGAUAAGCACCUCAAUAGAUAUUCUAGCAAGUCAUUAGCAUGGAAUUAGGACGAACUACAAGAAUAUUUCCUAAGUUAUUCUUAACUAUACAGUCUAGCAUAUCAUAGUUAGUGCAAUUAUACUUGGCAAUCAUUGCGAGACAGGACUACGCCCAUGCAUAGUGGUAUUAUAAAGAAAUAUGAGAAACAUAGCAAUCACUCCCCGUAAUAAUGUUGCUCUGCCAGCCCUAUACACGACUGGGGGACUAUAAUAAUCAAUGGAGCUGUCACUACCACAAACUACCCCGCGAUCUAGCAUAUAGGGUACAAUCGCAGAUAAAUACAGUAUAAGCACCACGCCUACACAAUACUUAUCAUUUACCCUCUGUACACAUGGAUAAGUGCUAUACGAUCCUAAAAAUGUAUAUAAUUUCAAUCUAACUAAGCCAAGCAUAUAACUAUGAUAAACUAAGAACAAUAUAAUUGCGAAUAUAAACAAGUAGAGCAAAGUCAUAAUCAAUAUAUUGAAGUAGAACAACGUCAUAUUCAUAAUAUUGAAGAACAAAGAUGAACAAUUGAAGAACAAUAGAGAAUUACCAAGAAUCCUCUUGACAGAUCCGGAAACCAAUCGAAGAUUGACUCCUUCUAGUUCUAAUCCUAUGUAGCUAUGCUAAACUAGAGAUCUAAUUGAUGUGGUGGCUCUAGGGCUUGAUCAGAGGCUUCUUCUCCCAAGAUGAAUAAUGAAUUAGGGGUCUGAGGUCCUCUCCUCCAGGGGCCAGGGGGUCUGCUUAUAUAGUCCUUCCAAGUGAAUGUGGGCCGUUGGAUCAAACCGACAUUAAUUGCACGGUUUUCCUUGAUCCUUUAGGUCGGUGGAGCAUGAUCCGUGAAGUUGGCUCUGACUGGCUCAGAGGCCACGGUGGACACCCAAGGGGGAGGGUGGGCACCCUGCCCUCGAGCCCGUCCGGUAUCCCGUUCGUUCCCGUGGCUUCUGGACUCUUCUAGAUGUAGGAUAAUUGCGCGGCACGUUAAUAUCUCUAUGUAAACCCGACAUGUGGGCCUUUCUUCCAUAAUUCCUGAUAACCUCCUGCAGAAAUAGACAAACACCAAAACUCAUGGAAUUCUGUCAGAUAAAGCCUAAGUCUAGAUGUCGGUUGCAUUUGGAUCCUUUUCUUUGUUUAUUUGAUAAUUAUAUUUGAUACUUAAGGACCGUCAACAAACUCCCCCAAGCUUACCUCUUGCUCGUCCCUCAGCAAGGAUAAUCUCAGUGAUGGAUCAGAAGUUGUUGGAAUGCCUUUAAAAGUUGACGGUACACAUGCUUUCAAACAAGGUCUCAUCUGUGAGUCAGAGUAAACUGUCAAAACUUAAAACUUACUCAUUUUACCUUUUACCAUGGGACAUGUAACCGUCACUUCUGUCUUGAGCAGUUAAAAGUUAGGACGGUCUAGUCAAGUGCCUUGUCUCUUAUUCUUGAUCAGCUAUAGCUCUGGAGUUUUUUUUUGCAGAUUUUCAAAUAAAACUUAGAGAUUCCUUGUAUGACUCACUCAGAUCUCUCUUUUGUGGUACUUCUCGAUCCUUACCAAGGCAGUGAUGUAUAUGCCUUCUCUCUCAAAAUAUGUGGUAUUUGUGGUAUAAGGCAUAGUGACAUUGCCUUCUCUCUCACCCUACUCUAAUAAGUAUACAUACUUACAAGACAUUUAUUGUAUAGUCAAACCAUGGAUCCAAAGAAACAAGUCAAUAAGUCAAAUCAAGAUGUGCAUGUGUGGCGAAUGAAUGGUGUAUGGUGAUGAUGGUGAUAACAAUGGUGAAAGUCUAAUUCUACUUGUGCUAUUUUGAGGGGAUACAUACCUUUCUUGCUCUUUUGAAACUUUUGAGGGGAAUGAGAUUAAUUAGACUUUCACCAUUAUUAUCUUGUUCUUUCCUCUCAGGUGGGUAUCUUGUACCCCUAAUUCCACUGUCAGACACUUGUCCAUUUUUACCUCGCGUCUCACUUUUUCUUUUCUUUCGAGGUUCUGGGCACUUGCCCCUUUUUAUUUUCUCGUAUCUUUUCUUUCUUCUUCUUUUUUUAGAGCACUCAUCUCUUGAAAUAAUGUAGCAAGUGGUAGUAACCAAGAUAACUUAAGCGUUUAUUUCACAGGGGAAAAACAUAAAUGUUUUUUGGGUAUUCUCUCCCGGAUUAGGAGUAUAAUAUUUUUGGGUGGUUGUCAAGAUGGAAAUGAGUAGAUAUAUGUGGAUGCGUACUUCCGGAGUAGAAGCAGCAUGUAUAAGUGAAGGUGCAAGUGAAUCUUGAUUUAACCACAUGACAAGCUCCUAAGGGUCUACACAGCUUGACCACACUCAAUGUUCAUAAGCAAUAAAAAGUAAAUGUGUGGCUCAAAGUCUAACAAGCAUGUAU